UGCUGAUAGAAGUACUUUGGCAGUUCCUCCAUCAGGGUGACAUCCAGCAUCGAUCAUUUCUUCAAAGAUUUCCAAGCAUCUUGCGUAUAGUUUCUUUCUAGAGUAGGCUCCUAAUCUUGAAGUCCAAGUCACAACAUCAGGUUUCAGAUUUUUGGUUGGAAGUGAUUGGAAAAUACCUUCCAUUUCUCGAAAAAUCCUGCUCGUCCAUAUAUGUUGAUUAAGAUGUUGUAUGUACUGAUAUCAGCUCCAUAAGGUCCCUUUUCCAUUGCAGUUAGAACUUCCUCCAUCUUUUCAAAUUGGCCAAGCCGGCCAUACAAGUGCAUCAUGCUGUUGAGGACAAACGUGUCUGGUUCAAGCCCAGAUUCGCUCAUCUGGUUAACAAUUUCUUCGCAUUUAUCCACAUUUCUUGCUCUUGAGUAGGCACACAGAAGUAGCAUGUGUGAUUUCAUUGUAGGGGUUAUUCCUAGUCGCUUCAUCUCAUUGAAUACCGCUUGAGCAUCUAAAAAACAAAUAGGAGCAGCCAAAUCAUUAAGCCAAAAUUACGAGGAGCUUAUACGAAAAACAAGACGAACUUCUUCCAAGUAGGAAAGGUGUCGCAAAUGGAUGAAAUGCUGAUAGCCUGAUAAUAUCUCAUAUAACUUUAUCUUGUUUCCUAGGAAAUCUUAGAAAGAUUAUGGCAGAUCUCCAGAAUAAAAUUGAACACUGUUCCAAAAUAUAAUCCAAAUGUUGCAAUAUAGAUCCCUUCAAGUUCGUAGUUGAUCCGAACGUUUUUAAACCAUUACAUGCUCAAACUGUUCCCAAAUUCUCUGGAGCUUAAUCAUUUUCCAAUUCUCACUUAAUAAAGUACAUUGAUACUAUUUGGUUCAAGCAUCUUACCCUCAUGAAGGCCAGCUCUCCCAUACGCAUCUACCAUGAUGUUAUAUGAAGCUCUAUCCGGCUCACAGCCCAUGUGCCGCAUGAGUGAAAAUAUUUCUGCAGCCCCGUAAGCAAAACCUGCACGACUGUCAGGACAAGAUCGCUAAAAUCAUCAGUUCUAUUGGGAAUCUCUCUUGGAAGCAAGAAGCAGCACCUCCAGUAUUCUUUUUUUAUUUUCUUUGAAAGAUUAUUGAAACACCAUAUCAUUCUAUGAUACUAACCUGUAAGCUUCCAUGAGUGCAUUGUAAGUAUACACAUCAGGCUCAAGCUUAUCUUCUUGCAUCUGCUCAAAUAUUUCUUCUGCCUUCUCACAGAGUCCCUCUCUAGCAAACGCGUUCACCAGAGCUGUGUAUGUGCAGAUAUCUGGUCUGCAUUUUUGACUUCUCAUUUCGUUAAACAACUUCAAGGCCAUGUAAGAUUGACUUGCCUGUGUACAGGAAAAAGAUUAGCAAAAUGAGUUUUUAAGGAUCCUAAACACCACUGUUGUCCAGGGUUAUCAGAAUUAAUAACCAUAUCUUUGAAUUUAGUCUGAUAAUUGUUUGAAAUUAAAUGCAUAUAUUUCAAGUUGUUUCGUAGACUUUAUGCAUAAUUUUCUACUGGGACCAGUGGCAUUUCAAGAAGAUCAGAUUUGAAGAAUAAUUCAGAACCAAAUACCACUGAGCUUACCUUCCCAUGAAGGUUGAUCAACAGUGUAUAGGUGUCAGUAGAGGGCUGGCAGCCAUCAUUUUUCAUUCGCUGAAAGAUCUCAAUUGCUCUUUGAGGGUUUCCAGCCUUCGUUAACCCAUCAAUAUAAGCAUUGUAUACAAUUGCACCUGGCCAAAAUUAGAGUAUACGCUCACUUUUCACUCCUUGAAUGUGCAUGCAAGUGUAUCAACAGAACAGCUUGAAAAAUGAAAAUCUGAGAAGUGUAAAUAAGAUAACGAAACACAAAAGCAGAACUAAUGCCCUGUAUUUCACCACCACAAAAAGAAGAGAAAUAACCCACGCAUUCUCAUAAAGGAAAGCUACAGAAGCAAGUUUGUCAUCCAGGAGCCUCAAGCCUAAUCCAGUUCCGGUCUGGCUAAAUUAGCAAGGGGUCCCUCUUGGUUUAAUCAACCAUUCUCUAAGCAUGAUGAUGUAGAUAAGGAGUAGUAAUCACAACUAUUAUAGUAGCAACAAGAAAUAUGCAGACCAUGAACCAAUCUUCUCUUUUCCUACGUUUAGUAUACUUCACCCCCAAAAAGAAAAAAGAAAUACAGCCGUGCAAUUAUUGAGCAAGGUUUCCAAAUUUAACCCCACAAAAAAUCAAUUUUUGAGGCAAAGAAUCUUACAAGUUGAGGAAAUUUUUGUUUUAUAAAAAAUGGUUAAGACAGUCCAAUAACUUCUUGAAAAUACAAUUUCCCUAAAAGCUAAGAAGAAAUGAAUUGGUAAACACAUACUUGGAGGAAGGCCAUACUUUCGCAUAUCAACAAAGGCAGCUUCAGCUUUUUCUAACAAUCCACAUGCACAGUAAGCCUUUAUAAGAAGGGCAUAAGUGUCUUCAGUAGGGAUACACCUGGCUUGAAGAAGAUCAACAUAUGUUUCUUCUGCCUUCUUGUACAAAGAUUUUUGCCCAUAAGCAUCUAUUAGUAAAUUGUAGCACAUGACAUCUGUCUGGAAGGAGCUCUUGUACAAUAUCCAUUGACAUAUCUGGAAAUUUUAGAGUUACACCCAACAAGAUUAUUAAGAAUUAAGAACAAACGAUAUCAAAAAUGUCUAUAUAAUAAAUAGAGACAGUAAAGAGAUUUGUUUCAUUUAGUUGUAGGAAAAUGCUGGUAUAUGAGAAUUCCAAACACCAACUGCAGCACCAACCACUUAAAGGAGAUUUGAACAAUCGAGGAUUCAGUCUUAAUGGUUGAAGAGAAAAAUACUGUGCAAACAUCCUGCCACAAAAAUAUGUGCGUGCAAGGUGGUUUAAUCCAUCGCCUACCACCUUACACGAUGAAAGAAAUAAGGCACGAUUUACUCACCAAUGCAAUCGGAUCCCAUUGUUUAUUCAAACGAAGUUGGACGGCUACAUUAAUAAGAUCAUCCCAAGUCUCGUGAGUGACAGGAAGAGUAUCAAGAGCAGCCCAAACAUUAUUCGGAUCCACUUCUUUCCGCACAAAGUUCAGAAUCUGAUGAGCAACAGGACUUAGCACCGGGAAAAUUCCAUCAACAAAUCCAGAUCCAUAUUUCCAUCCUUGUCCCCUCAAAGAGCCACCUAGGUAAAUUAGACGACUUAAUAAUUAAAGCCAUAUUUGCUUGAGGGAGUUAUAUGUAUGAGCACAAAGUGAAUUACUCCGUAUUACAUCGUUUCCUGGACAUCUUUUUGUGAUCAAAGAUUCGCCAUUUGCCAUGUUUGUCGAUAUAGACCCUGUCGCUUUUCCACUUUUUAACAUCUCCACUACUGGAAUUCUUUUCUCUGCGUCUGAAAUGACCAUUCCGGAUUCUUGAUUCUAUAAAAAUAUGAUUCAGAGUGCAUCUAACAAGCAACCUGCAAACACUAAUCAAGUAAACACACAAUUGCCAGCAACAAAAUACACACCUCUUAAUUUAAAGCCAUUACACAGAGGAAGCAACCAAAUAAAAUCCAUAUAAAGGAUGCUUUAGACUUCAAAAUAAUUGGACAAAGAGAGACACUAAAACUACUUUCAAUCACAAUAGCAAACACAUGAAAUGCAAACCAGAAAACCUAGUUAAAAAGAAGAAGAAAAGUAGUCAACUUUCCCUUUCUAAACCCAAUAUCUUCUCCCUUUCUUCCGCAAAUAAUUCUUAACUGCUGUGAGUAUAGGUUGUAUUUUCAUUACAGAAUCAAAUAUUAGUCUAAUCUAUCUGAUUAAACUACAAAAAUCAAAAUUUGCAAGAUAAACAAGGCCACAACUGUUGAAGACUGGUUAGAGUUCAACAACGAUAAGCAUAGCACUCUGACAGCUAAAACUGGUCCAUCAUCUUAUAACUUCUGAAGUCACAGUAAGACUUUUUAGAUAAUGAUGAUUGCUCGUUCAAUAUAUAUGAGAGCCAACAAAAUGCUAAAACGUUUUAACUAAUAAGAACACAAAACAAUUUAGACAUAUUCUCUCAAGUGAACGUUGAUACUUAGCAAUUCCAUUGAAACCCAUUUCCCAGAACAAGAAAUUCCAUGAAAAAGCAAUAUUAUCCAGCAAGAGGAGAAACACCAGAAUUGAAGUUAAUAAAUACAGAAAAUAACAAGGCAGCAUGAACAGCAUUAGCAGUGGCAUUGCAUAAGGAAAGAGAGGAAGGAAGGAUACGACUUACAUGAAAGCAUAAAAGAGGAGUUUGGAGUUGGGUAUCUGUAAACAUCCAGAAAGCAAGAACAUAUGUGAAGAGUGUUUCUUGGAUAAUGGACUACAUGGGUGAAGACCAGCACUGCCAGACAAAAGUAGCUUCUGUUUUUUUCUGUUUACUAAGGGACAAAAACCUCAAAAUAUCUCUAACGAACUUAAGGAGUCAAACAAUAGCGUUAUUGUAGCCUCGUGAUUCUAUAUUGAGACAGUAGCUGUUAGCUAGAAGAUCAACAGUUAAUUUGUUUAAACACAAUGGACAAAUUAUUGUCAUUGUUAUUAGUAUAAUUUAACAGCAGACACUCCAGCUGAGCAUGAGAAUUGUUGCAAAGACGAAGCUAUGAAGUGCCAAUUGAGUUGCAAUUCGACUCUACUAGCAGAAGUUUCCAUGCUUAAAAAGCGAAAACUGCCGUCAAAAUGGGUUAAAAGGCUUAUUGAGGUUGCGGUGUUUUUUUGAUUUUUUUAAAAAUUAAUUUGUUUUUAUCUUUUCAGAGUUAAUAUUAAUUUUUUAAAAUAAUAAUAAAAAUAUCGUUUUAAUAUAAUUCCAAGCAAAAACAUAUUUCAAGGGCGAACACUUCCAUUCUCUUAAUAUAAACAGGGUUACGCCAUGCAUUUCCAUUUUUUCAACAGUAGUUUUGGCUGCAGUUAAGAUGGGGCAAAAUAAGCUAUAACUUUUGUGUGAACUGAAAAAUUGAGGCAAGUACAAGGACCCAAGAAUAAAGUAAGCAUUUUAAUUCGAUAUCCAUAUUCCAUGGUCCCUCUCUUUCCCUCUUCGGAGCUCCAUUGGAAUUAAAUGAGAACGGCCAUAUUACAGGUCAAGCAUUGAGAGGAGAUAAAUAUAAUUGAAAAGACCAAUUUUCUGCACUCUGUCAAACCUAUCAUAUAGGAAAUCAUAUUGAUGCAAAACUUUAGAAGCCAUCUAAGAUUGGAGAGAAGUCUUGUAACAUUUCCACAUCACAGUUCUACAAACGUGGAAUUAAUGGAAACUUCGGCUAAAAGCAACUGAUUCAAGCAAAUUCCAGAGGAAAGUAACACAAGUAUCUCGAUUGGUGUCAAUACUGGGAAGAACUCCACUUUAGCCAAAAAAUACAAUGUCUAUUCCACUUCAGCCAAAUAAUCAUCAAUUUCGGCUGGAGUUAGUACCCUGCAGUAAAGAAAGCUCAAGGGAUAAGAUUGCCAUGGUCAUGCCACACAUAAAUUCUUCCAAGGAAGCUUAAACAUCCAAAGAAAUAGUGGAUUGGCCAUUUUGAACACGAGAUCCAUAUGUAAAUUGUCAGACUGAAACUAGAGCAAGGGUGCGUGAAAAUCAGAACUUCAAAACUGAAACCACAAGUGGAAGGCCAUAUAUGAAAUUGGUGAGAUCCAAAAGAUUUUAGACAUCAGAUUUUAUCUAGUUAUGAACUGUGUUAACAAAAAUGUGCAUCCUGCAAGUUACUUCUGGAACUCAUCCUAAGCUUGAAAUUACGUGACACUAUUACCAAGUUUAAUAAGGCAAAAGGUCAAGAAAGAGCAUGCCUGAAUUGCUUGUCAGCACCAAUUAUCCCAAUUUCAAUGUUUUUCCCAGAAAUCUGCCCUUCAAAUCUGCAAACACAAACAAUCUUGUAAGGGUACAAGGGAAGCACUAAGAACUUGUAAGAAACUUUAAAAUGCUCAUUUAUAUCUCUCUUUGACCACUUUGCAAAUACUAAGAUUAUGCUCACUAGUCCACCAUCAUUCUGAUUAUAGAAGCAAGACUCGACAAAUUAACAACUUAAAAUCACUAAGAGGAAAGAAAAGGAACCUUUAAGCACCUGCAAGUACAUUUGAUUGACACUGGGUUGAGAAACUUUCAUUCAUUUUCACUUAAACAGUAUCUCACAUAAUUUAAUCUCCUGAACUACUAACUAAAGUGUUGAGAGCCAAUUUAAGUUCUCAAGGCUGAAGACCCCAACUAGACUACUGUUACCUAGAAUUCAUUUUACCUGCGAUACUCAGUAUGUGUGGCAGAAAAUCGCAAUACCUAAAUGGCUGAAUUUACAAGUAUAUCAAUCAAUUAUGUAAUGAACCGGGUGCAAGUGCAUGGCGCAAGUAUAUUAAACCUACUGAAUUUUUCUUCUACUUUUUAUACACCAAUCCUUGUAAAAAACACCACUGCUCAAAUUCAAAAAUAAAAAGUGGAGGAAAUUUUAAAGUGAUGUACCCCUCUUUUAGUGUCAAGAUAGCGGUGUGUACAGCAUCAUCAAGCUCCAUAUCAUCAGUGUAUCUACAGAGCACAUAUUAAGUUAGGGAAAACAAAAGUUGUUCAAAUCAAAUGAAGAUAUGUGAACAAAAAACCAAAAUAUUUACCAUGUUUAUGUCCAUUCAAUUCUUUUUUUCUCACUUCCUUUUUUCUUUUUCUUUUUCAAAAAAAAGAAAGGCAAUCCAAUUCUUCUUGGAUGGGGAAAAUGAAUUACAAUAAAUUAUAUAAAGAACGAGGGGAGUAGCUCAAAGUAAGCUGGCAGUUGAAAAUUGAAGGUAGCUUGAUCUUUGAAUGAAGAAUAUGUUUGGCAGUUGAUGGCUGGAGGUGGAAACACAUUUGUUGCUAGCUAGGAGAACCCAUGAAGAUGUUUAGAAGUUUUUGCAGAAUCAAUGCAUUUCAUGGUACCAAAAACAAAUAAAUACCUCUUCUCAAGAAAUGUUUUUGCAUUUGAAACAUUUUUCCCCAUUGCUGAGGCUUUCCAUGAGAAGUAGGAUCCUGAUGGAUCGACCUAGCCAAACAAAUACAAAACAUAACAUCAUCAGAAGAACUAUGAUUUGAGUGCAAGAGUCUAACAUAUUUUUAAAAAGGCAACACAAGUGAGUCAUAAUCCAUCCAAAUCACAACCAAGAAAACAAAAGGUCAAAAACUUAUCAACCCUCUGGGCACACAGAAGGGUGCAUGAUAGUCACAAAGGCCUACAGCUUCUAGAAUACUAGGCUACCACAUAGUCUGCAGUGGAUAAUCCAGAUACAAAAAAAAUAGUUAAUGACUUCAGACAUUAACACAGUGACUAGCAAAGACACCUGAUACAGCUGUGGACCUUUGUCAUCAAAACCAGCGACUAGCAAAGAUACUCCAAAAGGCCUUACACCUCUGCGAGGAAAAACAAAGGAUGAGUAUUUUCAAACUUCAAGAAUAAGAGCAUGAAGAGUUGACAUGCUGGUGCAGGAACAUAGGGAGAGAGUUGUUGGCUUCUUAGAAUAAGGGCUAAGGUUAUGAACUUUGGAAAUUAAAAUUCAGAUCUAAAUUACAAAGGAAAUCAACUAAAACCACUGAAACACUUUGAAUGUAUAAAAGAUGUUCCAGUACCCAGAUUGAGUAAACUCUUGCAUGACAGCAGCAGUUUCCCUCACAAGUUGUGUGACAGGAAUUGGUUCCUACAAUCAUAAAAAUUCACAAGUUACAACCUUCACGAUUAACAACAAAAGAUGACAAUGAAUUGAUAUAAAAUAGUAAUUGGAUAUUUAACUCUUGGAUUUCAAGCAAAAUUAAGCUGUUUUGGGGGUCAGAAUGGCAUUGUUGGGAAUAAGACAACUAACAAGAAGUCUUGUAAUAUAGACAACCUCAAUAACUACUUCCCAGAUAUAUUAUCUUAACCAGGUUAUCAAGCAUUAGACGAAUUAUAUACAUGAGUUUGUUUAGAGGCAUCAAAAGGAUACACAUAUCCCAUUCAUAAGAUAAGCCAAGAAAAUUUAGCAACCUUAUCACUAAUCAGUGACAUGAAAAGAAAAGCUGAAGAACAAACAUGAAGCAAAAUAAUAAAGAAAAUCUUGAAGAUGGGUACCUUGUACAGUCUAUGAUAUUGCUCUGCUUGCUUCCUACUUUUCCGAACCAAAACUCGAAAGUCAGGACCCAUUCCACUGCAACAAAAUACAUGUGAUUCAGCACUGUUAAGAAAAAAGUACAGCAAAGCAACCCAUUUUGACAUAGGUAAUAAGUUGCACAAGCUAGUAAGAAGUGGCUCACUGAGCAACCAAAUUGCCAAGAUGUCUUAUUUCAAACCCAAGUACAGAGGAAUGCCUUAUUUAUAUUUUUCUAAGGAACUACAUAUUUGUCCCCCUCUUUUUUUCAGUUGAAACAGAAACAGGGUACAUGUACAACGUGUUAAAGUCAAGUCCAUAACCAGACCAAUUAAGAACAUUGACCUACAAGGAGUUCCACUGAAGUUCAGAUUAUAAGCAGGCAUGCUUCUAUCUCAAUUUACCACCCCGGGUCAAAUUUCACACUUAUCAGGACACUAUAACAACAGCAGAAACUAUACAAUUUCCCACCAAACAUAAAGAGAGCUUUGAAUCUACACACCCGCCUGCUACAAUCAUUCAUGACAGAUAUUUUAGCAAAAGUUAAGGCCAGAGAAACACAAGCUAAAAAAAUGGAACUUCCUAAUUAAUGAGAAGCAGGCAGAAACAAACCUGUAGACAACUCCAAUAUUGGGUGUCAGAUUCUGUAUUUUCUGAACCUGAAACAAGAAGCAAUUAAUACCAUCAACAACCAACUCAAGUUACAUACCAUCUUGCAAAUUAGAAUAAUAGACCAAUCAAUUGGCUCCAAAAUCAAACCAUCUCCACCUCAUUCAACACGAUUUAAAAUAACCAACACUGCCUUUUUAUACAAUGUGGGAUUAAAGAGGAUAUAAAUCUACACACUCCAACAUUCAAAGUCCUAAUCUUAGAGUCAUUGACUAGUAUAACUAAGCUCAAAUUACUAAUAAAAAUUACAAAUUUACACCGAAUUUGAACAGAUUUCUACCAACCGAUGUCACUAAAGAAAACACAAAAAAAAAACGCAAAAAAACAAAAGGGCUUCUUGAAUUUAAACCAAAGAAUAUAACAAAACCAAUAAAAAAAAUAAUAAAUGUUUACUUACAGAAGAUUCAUCGACUAAAAUAGAUGGCAAUUUCUUCUCAGUUGCAAUAACAACACCGUUUGCCGCUACAACACCAAAAAAAUAAUAAAAUCAACAACAUAGUAUCUAAGCACCCAUCAACAACAUAGUGCAUUCAAAAAUGACAAGAAAAUGAGAAAACAAAGAGAGAGAGAGGGAGCUUAAAUUGCAACAACCUUUGAUUCCGAGGGAAGUUUGGCCUGAUCCAACGGCAGUCAAUGCGUGCUCAAUCUGUACUAGCUUUCCGGUAGGACUGAAAGUAGUGAGAGAAAAGGAGUACUGGCUAUCACCCAUGGUUUAUUGCUUGAAGACGCAGACAGGAAAAACUGAGAAUGCGAGCGUGUGGGAGAGAAAGACAGGGAUAUUUACUCGGGGUUUUAACUUUGCUUUCUCGUUGGAGAAGAAGGUGUUUCUUACCAGGGCUUUUACAAUGGAGUAUUUUGUGCUUUUACGACGGCAGGUUGGUCCUCUUUACAUUGAGCUCAAUGAAGGCUCGGAACCAGUUUUGUUUUUAAGUAUUAUUAACAAAUUUUUAUUUAUUUAUUAAUAUAAAUAAUUUUUAAUUUAUUUAAUUACAUUUAUAUAUAAAAUUUUUAAUUUACUAUAUUUUUUGAACUAGAAAAAUAUAUUUAAAGAACUGCAUAUAUAAAUUUUUAUAAAAAAUAAAAAUAUUUGACUCACAAUAAAUCAUCGAUAUUUUUAUAAAAAAAUAAAAAUGGGUAAACUCUUAAUUAUUGUUGAAGAUUUUUUUUGUUAGGUUUGGAUAACUUAUAGAUGAAUGGUUUAGCUUCUCUCAUUUAUUUGGAUUUAAUCCACUGAAACUGAGGUUUAAGAAUUUCUUGGAUUUAAUCCACUGAAACAGUUGCUUAAUCAAGAUCAUUGGUUUGUUUGAAGACAGAUAAAGGCAUAAAAAAAAAAAAAAAAAAAAAGCGAGAGCGAGCAAAUGGUAAGUAGCUGAAACAUAUGAUUUACAUAUCAUUUUGAGAAAAUCUAAAAGAAAAUGUCAUCUUAGAUUAAUUAUAGAUAUGAGUUACAUUUGGAGAAUUUAAGUAAGGAAUAAGCUUCACGUGAGCGAGAAAAUAUGACAGCUGCAUUUGAUAGAGUAAAUGGAAAGUAGGAAAUAAAAUCGAAUUACAGUAAAGAGGUCACACAGAGUAAAUAGUAAGGCUUACAUAUUAUUUACACUCAAUCUUAGCAAACACCAAAGCAAAUAAUUAAUACACUCAGAACCAAAUCUUUUACCGUUAAGAAUUAACACUGGUAGAAGAAUUUACCUCUUCCUGCGGGUUCUAAAGACUAAAGAAUUUACCCAAAAUAAAUAUCAUCAAAAUUAAUCUUUGGGAUGUGAGAAAUCUUUUGCCAAUCUUCACCCAUCUCCUCCUUCCCGUAACGUUUCCUUAGAUUGGGGCAAUCACCUAUGUGUAAUUCCUGUAGAAGACACCGGAAAAGACCUUUUGCUAACUUGGGGCAAUCACCUUUUGCUAUGUGUAAUUCCUGUAGAAGACACCGGAAAAGACCUUUCCGAAGGGUCUCUAGUGUGGAUCAAGAGGCUGCGAAGACCUUUUGCUUUGUGAAUGGACACCGGAAAAGAGGUCUCCUUUGACAGCAUCAUGCUUAAAUGACGAACCCUUUCAAUUGAAGUCUCCACUAUUGUUUCUCCAAGUGUAUUGACAUCCACUGUUAGACAUUCAUUUUUUGUCAUGUAUUGGGCAAAAUCAUGCACUAUAUCAUGCAUCUUGAAUUUCAUUCCCUCAUCGUAAUCCGUCUCAAAAUCUUGGAAGAAAGAGCGCGCUGCUAAGACUUGAAAGUACUGCUCUCCUACAAGCUCCAUAUCUCCACCUGAAGUCUCCUUGAGGUAACCUUGAGCCAUCCACAUCUUCACCAAUUCAUAUUUUCCCAUCUCGUAGUCUUUUGGAAACAUGGCACAAUACAAGAAACAUCGUCUUACCACAGAAGGUAAAUCAUAGUAACUCAAAAGCAAAGGUAUAAAUAUUUGUCUUUCAACCUGAUCUCUAUCAACCUCAUCUAGCCUCCACAAUUCGCUAGAUAAAACACGCUCCCACUCUUCUCUUGUUAUUUUAGACUGCAUUAGACCUCCUAAUACCUUGGCAGCUAGAGGCAAGCCCUUGCACUUGUUUGCAAUUUUAUCGCCGAUAUCUGUCAAUCUUUCGCGCUCAUCUUUGCUUCUUUCCUGGAAUGCCACAUGAUUGAAUAUUGACCUGCAUAUCUUAUCAGACAAUUUCUCAAUGUUGAUCCGGUGGUCAGUUCCCAUCAUCGUUGCCACAGCGUCCUUACGAGUGGUCACUAGAAUUCUGCUUCCAGGUGCACCGCCUUUGAGAGAUAGUUUCAGUGGUUCCCACUGUCCAUGAUUUUCUGUCCAGACAUCAUCUAGGACAAGAAGGAACCUCUUUCCCUUAAUGGAUUCAGAAACCCUUUGCAUAAGGGAUUGCAAUUCAACCAAAUCGGGUGCCCUCCCUUCAAGCUGCUCAAGGAUACCUUUGGCUAUUCUAACCUCAUCAAAUGGUUCUGAAACACACACCCAUAUCUUUUUCUCAAAAUGAGCCGUAACCUCAGCAUCAUUAAAAGCUAGUUGUGAAAAGAAUGAUAUCUUUUGUAUUAUGUUACAGAGUAAACAAAGGUUACAAUUUAUACUAAUGGCUUGAUACAAAGAGCCUACAUUAAAGCCUACGAUCAGACCUAAUUAUCACAGAAUAAGGAAACAAAUAAGUGAAGAUUCAAUUACAGUAUUUGACAGACUUGAUUUCCUAUUCUGUGAUUGAUUUCCUAUGCUGUGCUUGGUUUCCUUUAACACUCCUCCUCAAGUUGGAGUGUAUGUUAAUUACACCCAACUUGCUAAGUAAGGUCUCAAACUGUGUGGAGCUUAAUGGUUUAGUAAACAAGUCAGCCGGUUGGUUUGUAGUCCGUAUGUAGGUUGUUUGAAUCAUUCCUGCUUGAAUUUUCUCACGUAUCAAAUGACAGUCUAUUUCUAUGUGCUUGGUUCGCUCAUGAAAGACUGGAUUCGAUGCUAUGUGCAUUGCUGCUUGGUUAUCACAAAAUUAAGGUUACCGGUUGUGUGUGAUUUAUCUGCAAGUCCUUCAAAAUAUUUUUCAGCCAUGUAAUUUCGCAGCAUGUAGUAGCCAUGGAGCGAUAUUCUGCCUCUGCACUUGAACGUGAUAUUGUUGUCUGUUUCUUACUCCUCCAUGAAACUGGUGCUUCUCCAAGUAAAAUGCAGUAACCAGUAACUGAUCUUCUUGUGUCCUUACAACGAGCCCAAUCAGCAUCAUAAAAUGCUCGUAACUGAAGUGAACCUGUGGACGGCAAAAAGAUGCCUUGCCCAGGUGUUUGUUUGAUAUAUUUGAGCACUUUAUAAGCUGCAUCCAGGUGUGGUUGGCGGGGCUUAUCCAUGAACUGACUAAGGAUGUGCACAGCAUAAGUCAAGUCUGGUCUAGUUAUUGUAAGAUAGAGUAACCUGCCAACUAACCUCCUGUAUGUUGAUCCAUCUUCCAAAAGCUUUCCAUCGGAUUGUGUUAGAGACACAUUUUGCUCCAAAGGAAACCGAGAUGGCUUGACACCCAAAAACCCUGCAUCAUCCAAAAUCUCGAGUGCAUAUUUUCUCUGUGACAAACUAAUGCCAUGUCGUGAUUUGGCAACCUCGAUGCCAAGGAAGUAUUUAAGUUGCCCCAAGUCCUUAAGUUUGAAUUGUUUGGACAAGAAGAGUUUGGUGUUCUCUAUGUCCUGCAAAUUAUUCCCAGCUAAUAUCACAUCAUCAACAUAUAUCAGUAAUGCUAGAAAGUUACCAUGCUGGCUUCGGACGAACAAGGAAUAAUCAGAUAGGGACUGAUGGAAUCCUGCAGCCUUGAGUGCACCGGACAGUUUGAUAAACCACUGUCUAGAGGCUUGUUUUAAGCCAUACAGGGAUUUAUGAAGUUUGCAAACGCGUGUCUCCCCCUUUCAUCCGAAGCCAGGAGGCAAAGUCAUGUAGACGUCCUCAUCCAAGUCACCAUGCAAGAAUGCAUUGUUGACAUCAAGCUGAUGUAAAUGCCAACCACGCAAAGCUGCCACACUAAGUAAGAGGCGGACAUUGACCAUCUUGGCUACGGGAGCAAAGGUUUCCUGAUAAUCAACACCUGCAACUUGGCUGUAGCCCUUGGCCACCAGUCGUGCCUUAUAGCGUUCCACUGUCCCAUCAGCUUUCAACUUGAUUUUGUAUACCCAUUUGCAGCCGAUCGGCCGUUUGUGGGAUGGUAAAGGUACCAAACUCCAAGUCUCAGUGGCCUGUAAAGCAGAUAUCUCAUGGUGCAUGGCCUCACGCCACUGAGGAUGUUGAACAGCCUGUGAAAAACUGGUAGGUUCUUUGAGGAGAGUGAGUUGAGCAGUAUAAGCUUUGUGAUGAGGAGAAAGGUGAGUGUAAGAUAAAUAGGCAGAGAGGGGAUAAGCAGUACCUGAAGUGUGAACCAUGUUCGUGGAUGAUGUCGGGUCAGGCCUUGAAGGGAGAGUCAUGGCGAGAUGGAAAUCCUGCAAGUAAGAAGGAGUGGUGAUAGAACGACUGCCACGACGAAGAGUAGGAAUGGGCACAGGUGAGGAGGUGUUCAGUAUGGGAGAAAAAUCGGGUAGUGGACUAUCAGUAGGACUGGCUGAAUGUGGGGACUCUGUGAGAGGAGCUAGAGGAGUGGAUGAGGUGGUGGAUGGAUGGGUCUGGGAAUUGGGUGAGCUAGGAAAGGUAGGAUUGGGAAGCAGAGAAGGGGGUUCAAAGUGUAUGUCGAAAGGUAUGGAUGGAGUGGGAGUGGGCGUGGGAGGUGAUAAUGAUGGGAUAUUGGUAUGUGAUGCAGAUGUAAUAAAGGGAAAUGUAGAUUCAAAGAAGACGACAUCCCUAGAGACAAGUGUUCGUUGUGUAGCUAGAUCAAAAACUCUAUACCCCUUUUUCCCAUAAGGAUAGCCAAGAAAAAUACACUGAGAUGCUCGAGGAUCAAAUUUUGAGCGAUUUUGGGCAUGGGUGGAAACAAAAAAUAAGCAACCAAAUACUCGUAAGUGUGAGUAAUUGGGAACUUUGUUGAAGAGUUUUUCAUAUGGUGUUUUUCCAUGGAGAAUGGGGGUUGGUGUUCGAUUUAUGAGAUAAGCGGAAGCAAGAAUAGCGUCACCCCAAAAUUGGUGAGGAAGGUCGGCUUGAAGAAGUAAAGCACGUGCCAUAUUUAACAAAUGCCUAUGUUUGCGUUCGGCAACGCCAUUUUGUUGUGGAGUAUUAAUGCAACUGGUUUGAUGAAUAAUACCUUUGUGAGCGUAAAAGCUGUCAAGUUUGAAUUCAAGACCAUUAUCACUACGAAUCAUUUUGACUUUGGAAUCAAAUUGGUUUUCAGCCAUGUUGAUGAAAUUGACUAGAAGACCCCUAGUGUCAGAUUUGUGUUUCAUAAGAUAAAUCCAUGUGCAUCUAGUAUGAUCAUCAACGAUAGUAAGAAAAUAUUUGGCACCUGAAAUAGAAGGAAUUUUAUAACCACCCCAAAUGUCAACAUGGAUUAAAUCAAAUGAAGAUAUGGUAGUAAUGGAACUUGAAGAAAAUGGAAGUCUGGUUUGUUUUGCUAACGGACAAAUACAACACUUGUCGUUAGAGCAAGAAUUAACUUUAGGAAAUAAUGGAGAGACUUUGGUUGAGGGAUGCCCAAGACGUUGAUGCCAAAGGUUCGGGUUAGAAUUUUUGGCAUGGUUGCAGGUUCCUUUCUUGGCUUGGUCGAGAAAGUAGAGACCCUCCCGUUCAAUUCCCGUCCCAAUCAUCUUCCCCGAACGUAGGUCCUGAAUCACACAAAAUUGGCUUAGAAAAAUGGUGAUGCAAGAAGAAUCAAAUGCUAGUUUGCUAAUGGAAAUUAAAUUCAAUCGGAAAUAUAGGACACAUAAGACAUUAUCAAGGAUCAAAUCAGGAGAUAGAUGAACUCUGCCUAUGUGAGUUACUUGUGCUAUUGAUCCAUUCGGUAAUUCAACAGUGCGGCCAUUAACCGGUCUUGAGUAUGUGAGCAGAUUUUGGUCAUAAAUCAUAUGAUCUGUGCACCCACUAUCCAAAAUCCAUGUACUUCUGUUGCCAUUAGAGAAGAGUGAAAAAGCUUUACCUGAGAGCUCAUCAUGAGUUGGACAGUUACUAACAUGGUUGGCAGAGGAUGUUUUGGUUUUUAACAUGCUGAGUAUCUGUUUGCACUCGUCAGGUGUGAAAGGAAAAUUCAUCUCCUUCCUCUCAUUCGUAUGGGAUGCAACUUGAUUUCCCUUGGAAAUCGCCAUAUUAAAUUCAGCUUCAGUUACUGCUUUCUUCUUGCGACAAUACUCGGCUGUAUGUCCCUUCCAGCGGCAGAAAGUGCAUCUGAGAUGUGCACGACAAUCCUUGGUGUUGUGAUUUGUUCUAUUGCAUCUUGAGCAUCUCUGUUCAGUUUCAGUCUCAUGGCUUAAAUUCUUUACGGCAAAGGCAUCAGCCUCUGGUUGAGCAGGACUUUUCCCAGUUGUCACUUCUGAUUGUUUUUCAUGACGAAGAACCAGUGAGUAUGCCUUGUUGAUUGUUGGUAAUGGAUCCUGCAACAGAGUGUUGCUACGAACACCCACAUAUGAAUCACUAAGACCCAUGAGAAAUUUCAUGGUUUUCUGUGUGUCCAGGUAUGCAGCCACUUCCUUGACUGAUCCACAAGUGCAUGUUGGAAAGGUGCAUAGUGCAUCACGCUCAUCCCAUAAACCUUUCAGUUUUGUGAAGUAGGAUCCCACAGACAUGCUGCCCUGCACACAGUUGUGAAUUUCAUUCUCAAUGUUAAAUAACUGAACCACAUUCACAUGUGAGAAUCUUUCCUUUAAAUCAAGCCACAUUUGUCUGGCAUCCUUGCAGUUGAUGACGCUAGCUGCAAUAUCUUUGGACAUAGAUCCCAGCAGCCAAGUUUUAACCAAACUGUUGCACCGAUUCCAUUGUUGAUGCUCAUCUGGUUUCUUCUCAUCAGGCUCCUUCAUUGAGCCAUCUAUAAAUCCAAUCUUGUUUUUAACUGUCAGAGCCAUAGUCAUGGAUUGGCUCCAUGUGCUGUAGUUGUCUUCAACCAAAGGUUGUGGCACAAGAACAGCGCCAGGUUGAUCUGAAUGGUGAAGGUAAAGCUGGUGAUUGGGAUGAUCCCAUCUUGCUCCUGAAGACAUGCUUCCUUGGUUUUCGUUUCCCAUGGAAGUUGGCUAAAGGGUUUAUGUUUUAUUUUGAUACCUAGAUUAAUUGCUCUGAUACCAUGAAAAGAAUGAUAUCUUUUGUAUUAUGUUACAGAGUAAACAAAGGUUACAAUUUAUACUAAUGGCUUGAUACAAAGAGCCUACAUUAAAGCCUACGAUCAGACCUAAUUAUCACAGAAUAAGGAAACAAAUAAGUGAAGAUUCAAUUACAGUAUUUGACAGACUUGAUUUCCUAUUCUGUGAUUGAUUUCCUAUGCUGUGCUUGGUUUCCUUUAACAAGUUGGGCGAGAGUUGUUUUUCCAAUUCCGCCCAGCCCUACUACAGAGAUGACAUCCACGUCCCGUGCUUCUUGACUACUUUCAGCCAGCAACUUGCUUACAACAUUUCUCUUUUCACCAUCUCGACCAAUCACACUUGAUUCAUCAACAAAGGAGGUAGUUGUUAGCCGCUGGAGUUCAUCAGUGGCUUUGUACAGAUCAAAGCCAUACUUAGCUCUCUCUUUGGCAAUGUCAUCCACUUUUUCACUAACUUCUUUGAUCUUCCGGGCAAUGUCGCGACGUCGAACCACUUGAUUGAAACAAAAGCAAGGAGAUCCCAGGAAGGAACACCGUAUCUUCUGUCGGCUGUGAGUAUUUUCAGCUUCCUCCAUUUUCCAUCGAAGAAUUGCAGUGCUCCAUUCAUCUAGCACGUCAUCCAUAUCAUAACAUGCAUCUUUGAGCUUGUCUAGCCAAUCUCUUACAGCCUUAUCCCUCACUUGUUUUCUAUCUGCAUCUUCAAGGACAGAUUGGAUAUCAAGGAGAUUGCUUUUCAGCUUGUCACAUUGUUUCUUCACAUCCACUACUAGGUUCACCUCUUCUUGUACCUAUUAGUGUACAGAUGAAAAGAAACGUUAAGCAUAGGAAACAUUUCUAUGAUUUCAAUACAAAUUCUUAAUUUUUAGCAAUUAAUAGAUUAAAUCAUUUUUAUUAAACUUUUUCACAGUAGCAAUUAAUAUAUUUAUAUUGUUAAUUAUAUUCAAAUUAUAUAUAAUAACUCUCUAAAAUAAAAUGACUCGUAAAUAAUGUAAUGCUAAGCCACUAUUAUUGCACUAAAAUUUACUAGAUGCGUGAAUUAAAAUAUAUUUUAUUUGAAUAAAGGAUUUCUUUAGAUAAAAAGAUAGAAUUCAUAGAUAUUAUAAUUGUGGAGCGCAAUAUAUACAUUGCAAUUUCACAAUAUUUUUAGGUGACUUUUAAUAAUUAUCAUAGUCUAUUUUUUAAAAUAUUCUGUGAGGUUGAUCAAAAUAAAAAAGAAAUAUUAAUUAGAAUUUCUAUAAUCAUGUUUGUAAUCGAAUAUUUGACUAUAUUUAUUUUAAUCAUUUUAUCAUACUAAUUUUAUUUCAAAUAUAGUUAUUUAUGCAUUCAAAUAUGAUAAGGAAUUAUUAAAAAAGGAAUUUACUACUAUUUUACUAUAUUGAUUUGUUCUAACCAGCCAUCACAAUAACCAUAUUUUGUAUAGCACAAAAGAUAUAAAUAAAAAGAAAGAGAAUCGUAAGAACCCGCUAUCUUGUAAAAAUAAUAUACAUACAUACAUACAUACAUAUAUAUAUAUAUAUAUAUAUAUAUAUAUAUAUAUAUUAACUAAUUUAUUUGAUCACAUGCAAUGUGAUAAUAUAUAAAUCAAGCUACUGAUUUAGCUUCUGACAAAUUAACAGAUAUUCUAUAAGAUAAUGAAAUCAAUGUAUAAUGAACUAUAAAUGUUAGGUUAAUUGCAAAAUUGUAGAAAAGUAAUUAAGUACCUGUUGAUUAUAAAAAAAAGAAAAAAAAAAAAGAAACAAACAAAAAAGAGUACCUGUCGAGCAACGAUCGUGGUUAACUGCUCCAAAAUUGGGGAUACAAGUGCGUCAGCCAUUGUUGUUCUUACUACUGAAUGUGUCAAGAAAAAGGAGAGAAAGUAAUGGGGCGUUGUUGACUGAUGAAAUGAGAAGUUGAUGAAGAUAGGAAGGAUAGUGAUCUACUCUGUGGAGUGCCAGAGAAAAUUAAUUUGAGGUUAUUCUCCAUGAAGUUUAGGCAAUAUAUACUGCAAAUUAAGAUCAUUUGCUUAAGACUGGGGUUAGAGUAUGAUUCUGAACUUCAGUAUAAAGCAACUAAUUUCCUUCAAGGUUGAUGCAAGCAAAGAAUGUUACUGAAACAAUGAGAAAAUAUGUGUAACAAGGAAAAGGAAAAGGCAAAGGCAAAGGCAAGUCUAGAAUUAGCCAUUGCUUCACUUUGGGUUCAAGUAUAAUGCAUCAGUCAUUUUUUUAUUUGCAUGGUUAUGGUUAUAAGAUCACGGUAAUUCUGUAAAAAAUAAAUUAAAAUAAAUUAUUUUAGAAAUAAGUUUCUUGUUGUAAUUAAAUUGCAAAAAAUAGUUAGGAUAAAAUUUAAGAUAAAUCCUAGGGAACACAUUCAAAAUGCACUGUGUACUGGAUUCUCAAUGUUCAUUUUACAGUUUGACAAGAGAAUCUUUCCUUCACUUUCACUUGCACGAUCUUUUUUUUAUCUUCUUUUUUUUUCAAAACUUACAAUCUUUUUUUUUCCCAGAUCUUUUUUCACUGUGUACCCAUUAUUUGUUUGGUUUACGAUGCUUUUUUUUUAAUACCUUAUAAGUGCCAAAAUUACCAACACCAUCAAUAGCAUAAUUUUUUUGCCUUAAUUUUAACUGCAAAACAGCUACCUUACCGCCCCAGCAAACGAGAACGAAAAAGCUCACCAAGAUGCUCUCUUUGAAAAGAUUCUCAAUGAGUCACUGACAUUUACUCUCAUUGUUUAAAAAAGUUAGGGUAAAGUUGAAAGAUAAAAUUAAAAAAAAAAUUAUUGAUUAAAAAAACAUUAUUAUAAUGAAUAGUUCUUUUAUGAUGAGGGGUAUUGUAAAAUCCUCUCCUCUUUUGGUGUCUACUAGUUAUGUGAAUUGUGCUUCACUUCAGGUCAAGUAUUUUUAAUUUUUUAUAAAAAAGGUUGUAUAUGCAGAUUUUUUCAACGUAUUUUUGUACUUUAAAAAAUUUAAGUGUAUAUCAAAAAAUUUAUGCACACAUUUAAUCAAAUAAAUUGAGAAUUAUAUAUGUUAAUAAACAAAUAAAUAAUCAUUAACGACACCUAAAAAUAAAACUUAAAAAAUUGAGAGACAAAUAUAGAUCAAUAUAUUUAAUUUCGCAAAAUAAGAUAUUUACCCGAUCAUGUUUGCUAAAUUUUUUAUUAAAAAAAUUUCUAAUUUAAUCAAAUGAUAAUAAAAUAGAUAAACAUAUUAAAUUGAUUGAAUAAAAUAAAAAGAAAAUAUGAAUAAUAUGCAAGGCUACACAUAUUAGAAAUAUCAUAUAAAAUAAAUAUUUUUUAUUUUCAAAAAUAUAGUUCACCUAUGCAAAAGAUAAAAAAAUUAUAGAUAGAUUAGAAAAAACCUCUUUAAAAAUUAAACAUAUAAUCAAAAAAAUCACCAUUAUUUAGAAGAGGUUAUCUAAACAAAAUAAAAAAGAAAGAAAGGGUGGAUAGUGAUCUACCGUGGAGCGCAAGAGAAAAUUAAUUUGAGGUUAUUAUCAAUGAAGUUUAGGCAAUGGCGCAAAUUAAGGUCAAAUUGGAUGUUUUGCACUUUGGAUAAUGAUAUUAAUUUUUGGUGUUUGGUGAUAGAUUUCUUGUUGUGAAAUAGUUAUGGUAAAAUUUAAGAUAAAUCCUAGUGAACACGUCUUGUUGUGAAAUAGUUAUGAUAGACUCUCAAUGUUCAUUUUAGAGUUCCACAAGAGAAUCUUUCCGUCACUUUCACUUACUGCAAAACAGAGCUAUCAAUUUAAAAAUAUAUAAUUGCUCAAAUCAAGAAAUCAAUCUCAAUAAAUAAUAAUGUUUUAUGGCAACAACAGAUAAUAAAUAUUAUAUAAAUUACUAAGAAGUACUAUCAAUUUAAUAUUAAUAAUUUGAAUAUUUAUACUACUCCUCUGCAGCAUAUGAGAUAGUAAGUGAUAGAAUGGUCCCACUCCCCAUGUUAUGGUUUAUAUUUUGCUUUAAACAGAGUAUAGUUGUACUAAAAAUACACCCCUUUCCCGAAAGGAAGGGGAAGAACACAAUCAAGGGAUUUCUUGUUGUUUGACUUCUCAUGUUUCUCUCCCACCACGGGCAACUGUUUAUUUUCGCCAAGGUGAAUUGAGGCUUCAAGUAGAAGAAAUUAUUUACUGGUUAGAAACUUGGUCGAUUUCACUGUUGUCUUUGAGACAAAUGAAACUGAGGUUUUUGGUUUGCAAUUUGGGCAGAUAAGGAUAAUCCUUAUUGUUUGGUGUUUGAGAAUUUAAUUGGUGCUAAAUUUCUUGUUGUAAAUUGCAGAAAAUAGUCAGGGUAAAAAUUUAAGAUGAAUGCUAGGGAACACAUCUUCCCAAAAUGCACUGGGUUCUGGAUUCUCAAUGAAUGUUCAUCUUACAGUUUGACAAGAGAAUCUUUCCUUCGCUUGCACUAUCUUUUUGUUUGUUUGCCCGAUGCAUGAUUUUUUUACCAAAUAAGGAUAAUCCUCAUUUUUCCUUGAUAAAUUCUAACUACAAAACAGCUACUUCACCAACAAGAUGGAAAAGGCUCGCCAAGAUGUUCUCUUUGAAAAGAUUCUCAGUGAGUCGUUGACAUCUCAUUUUUGGAAUUUCUCCAAUAGCUUGAUGUCUACUCUCACUAUAUUGAGUAGGAUGACUGUAUAGAAUUACUCUGAUUUAUCAACACAUAUCAAAUUCUUGCUGCUGCUGAGGAAGAUAUCUGCACUUAGCCAUCAUAGAGGGUAGCGAAUUUUGUGUUGAUGGAAAUUACACUGACUCAUUGUGUACCAUCUAGAAUUCAAUUUUAAAAAAUAUUGCAAGAAAUGAUGUUUUUUCCUAAAUACAUCAUUCGGGUGUGGAUAGCUUGAUUAAAAUGCGACUCACUAAAAAGUCUUGGUCUUAAUAUGCAAAGAUGAUCCUAGUAUACCAUAUUUCUUUUAAAAUAAAACCCACAGAUCUAGUCCACGCAAAGGUACUGGAAUAUGGAUUUGUAAAAAAUAAAAAUGAAAAUUUAUACGAAAUUGAAUUGUGCUAAAAAAACCCACAGAUCUAGUCCAUGAUCUACGGCUCCUCCAGAGUUCCGUAGUGGUGUCUUUCUCAACUAUUCUUUAAAUAAAAUGUUUGGGAUGUGAGAAAUCUUGUGCCUAUCUUCACCCCUCCCCUCCUUCCCGUAACGUUUCCUUAGAGAAUUUAUGUAGAGGCGCUGUCAAAACAUAGGCCGGUAGUGCUCUCAACAAUGGGCAUUUGAGAAUUCUAAACUCAACAAGUUGUGGCAUGAUGAAUAUUGAAGUCAUGGUGGAAUCUUCUUCUCCCACUCUCCUUUCAAUCCCAUCCCACUCCUCUAGUUCUUUGAGAUGCCAUAUGCUAAGUUUUUUCAAUUUGGGGAAAGCAGGGACUCUUGCAAUUUCUCCUUCAUUAAUAUUGGUAUUGCCAACAUUUUCUUUGCCUAAAAAUCCACCAUCCAACCUUCUCAGCUUCAUGCUCAUCCAUCUGAAAAUCUUGGAAGAAACAACGUGCUACUAAGACUUGAAAAUACUCCUCUCCAACAAGCUCCAUACCUCUACUUGGAGUCUCCUUAAGAUAACCUUGAGCCAUCCACAUCUUCACCAACUGGUCUUUUUCCAUCUCGUAGUCUUUUGGAAACACCGUCUUGCCACAGAAGGUAAAUCGUAGUAACUCAAAAGCUGAGGUGGAAAUAGUGCUAUUUCAACAUGUUCUAACUCCCACAGUUCGCUAGAUAAAACAUGUUCCCACUCUUCUCUUGUUCUUUUACACUGCACUAGACCUCCUAAUACCUUGGCAGCUGGAGACAAGCCCUUGCACUUGCUUGCAAUUUUGCCGCCUAUUUCUGUCAAUCUUUCGCGCUCAUCUUUGAGUUUUUUUUAUUGGAAUGCCACCUGAUUGAAUAUUGACAUCCAUACCUCAUCAGAUACUCUCUCAAGGUUGAUCCAGUGGUCCGUUCCCAUCAUUGUUGCUAUAGCAUGUUUACGAGUGGUCACUAGAAUUCUGCUUCCAGGUGCACCGCCUUUGAGAGAUAGUUUCAGUGGUUCCCAUUGUCCAUGACUUUCUGUCCAUACAUCAUCAAGGACAAGAAGGAACUUCUUUCCCUUCAUUGAUUCAGAAACACUUUGCAAAAGGGAUUCCAAUUAAACUAAACACUUUCCCUCAAGGAUAGCUUUUGCUAUUCUAACCUUAUCAAAUGGAUCUGAUACACACACCCAUAUCUUUUUCUCAAAAUGAGCCGUAACCUCAGCAUCAUCAAAAGCUAGUUGGGCGAGAGUUGUCUUUCCAAUCCCGCCCAUCCCUACUAUAGAGAUGACCUCCACGUCCCCUGCUUCCUGAAUACUUUCGCCCAGCAACUUGCUUACUAAAGCUUCCCUUUCCUCAUCUCGACCACUCACGAUUGAUUCAUCAACAAGGGAGGUACUUGUUAUUCGUUAGAGUUCAUCAGUGGCUCUGUACAGCUCAAAGCCAAACAUUGCUCUCUCUUUGGCAAUCUCAUCCACUUUCUCACAUACUUCUUUGAUCUUGAGGGCAAUGUCGCGACGUCGAGCCACUUGAGUGAGACAAAAGCAAGGAGAUCCCAGGAAGGAACAUCGUAUCUGCUGUAGGCUGUGAUUAUUUUCUUCAGCAUCCCUCAUUUUUCAUGUAAGAAUUGCAGAGCUCCAUUCAUCUAGCACAUCAUCGAUAUCAUAGCAUACAUCUUUGAGCUUGUCUAGCCAAUCUCUUGCAACCUUAUCCUUCACUUGCUUUCUAUCUGCAUCUUCAAGGACAGAUUGGAUAGCAAGGAGAUUGCUUUUCAGCUUGUCGACUUGUUUCUGCACACCCCCUACUAGGUUCACCUCUUCCUGUACCUAUUGGUGUAGAAAAGAUAAGAAAGUUGAAGCAGAGGAAACAUUUCUAUGAUUUCUUUACAAGUUUUUAAUUUUAAUUUUUGGUAAUGAAUAGAUUAGCAGUAGUUGACACGUACUGCGAAAUGGAUUGGCUAUAUUAAUAAUUUAUACAUAAAAUAUUUAUUAAAAACCUAUAUAUUAAAAAUAAUAAUAUUUCUUUUUUGUUAUCAUCAUGAUGAUACCUGUCUGCACUCUUCCACUACAAAGAAAUAUAUAAAAGGAAUAAAAGGAAAGUGAAUAAAAGGAUCUGUAUUUGUUGGUAUUUGUAAAGUCCAUUGACAACUCAUUCUUUUUCCUUCUAAAGAUGUUUGAUUUGAGUAUUUGAGAUUUUAUUUUGUUUUUCUUAAAGGGAAGAAAAAAAGACUUCAUUUUUAUGUUUCUUAUUCAUGGUAGGUUAAUUAGGUCAUUGCAAAUUGUAUAAAAGCAAGUACCUGUUGAGCAACGAUCCUCGUUAACUGCUCCAAAAUUGGUGAUAAAAGUGCCUCUGCCAUUUGCCUGUUUAGUUUAAUUUUAUUUUAUUUUUAAAAAAGAGACAAUGAUGAGAGGAUGAACUGAGAGAGAGAGAGAGAAGAGAGUGUGAGGGGAAGGAGGCUGCUGGUUGUGAAAUGAAGAGAGAGGGUUAGUUUAUGUACUUGGGCCUUGGGGUUUGCUGAUGAGGGUUAAAGUUUUUUUUAGUCCCUGUAUGAUUUUUAACAUUUCAAUUUAGCCCCUAUAUUAUUGGACUUCUCAGUCUAGUCUCGGUCAGGGGUUACAUACUGAAAUGUAUCUGAUAUGGACACUGAUUAUAGCAUUAUACUGAAAUCCUUUCUUCUUCUUCUUCUUCUUUUUUUUUUUUUUUCACUCCUUUAUUAACGUGAUUUAAGGCACUUCUUUCGUUGUCUUUUUCUACUUUUUCAUAAUUUAAGGUACUUCUUUCUUGUUUUAGCUAGAAACAUAAUGCAAGACAAUUAGAAAAACAAAGGAAGAGUGUUUUCAAGAUUCAGGAAUCCGAGAGUGAAGAGCUGACAUGCAGAUGCAGGAACAUAGGAAGAGAGUUGUUUGGUUAUUAAAAUAAGGGCUAAGGUUAUGAAAUCUGGAAAUUGAAAGUCAGAUCUAAAUUACAGAGGAAAUCAGCUAACACCACCGGCGAAGUGAAUUCUUGCAUGACAGCAGCAGUUUCCCUCACAAGUUGUCUGACAGGAAUUGGUUCCUACAACCAUAAAAAUUCACAAGUUAGAACCUUCACGAUUUAACUCUUGGAUUUCACGCUAGAUUCAGCAGCGGUUGGGGUCAGAAUGACAUUGUUGGGAAGAAGACAACUAACAACAAGUCUUGUGAUACAGACAACCUCAAUAAGUACUUUCCAGAUGUAUUAUCUUAACCAGGUCAUCAAGCAUUAGAGGAAUUAUGUACAUGAGUUUGUUUAGAGACAUCAAAAGGAUGCCCAUACACCAUUCAUAAGAUAAGCCAUGGAAAUUUAACAACCUUAUCACUUAUCAGUGAAAUUAAAAGAAGAGCUGAAGAACAAACGUGGAGUUUUAUAUAACUAUAUUAUUUGAUAGUUUUAUCUAUAUUUAUCUAAUAUUUUAAAUAUGUUUUAUAUAUAAAAUAUCUUGAUAUUUUUUGUUUUAUAUCUUGAUAUUUUUUGUUUUAUAUUUUAAAAACACUUUUGAAUAUAAAAUUAAAAAAGAAGUAAAUUGAAGAUAAUUAACAGAUUUGAUCUCCAAUCAAUGAGAUUCAACUCUAGAAGUCGAAACGAAGUGAUUUCAAGGGCAUUAAAAAUCCAACAUCCAUACCUUUCUAUAUAUAUACGGCAAAAAAAAUAAAAAGAGAAAGAGCAUCGAGAUCGCAGCUUUCAAAGACAAAUCUGGCAUUUUAUCAGUGUUGAUCUUUGAUCAUUCUAACUUGAAUAUCUUGAGUUAGAGAAGUUUAUUUGAUGCAAACUCAAUUUUAUUGGAUUCCUGACUCAAAGAUCUAUCAUCAUACCAAAGUUCAGCAUAAAAAGAGCUCAUAUGAGAGAAAUAUAAUUUUUUCUAAGAUGCCACAUGAAUUCUACCAGUAGACAAGUUUUAUGAAGAAAUAAGUACAAAUUAAAUCCCAAAGCAUUCAAACCGACAUCCAAAUCUUUAUUUCGGCAAUUUAACUUCUCAAAGUCAAAAGUCAAAACUUGAAGAAAUUAUGCAAUACAAACACAAUUCUAAACAAAUAUAAUUUCAAAAUUUAAAAUAUUUCUAAGUAGUCAAAAUAGAUUUUUAACUUAAAGUAAUUCAAUUUAAACAAAAUAUCAAAAUAUUUUGAAAGUAAAAUAUUUUAACAAAAAUAUUUUAAAUAUAAAGUUAGGUCAAUGUUAUCAAGGCUAAUGGAAUCUAAAGUAUCCCUUAUUUUGCUCAAAUUCCUACAAAGUAUAAACAUAUAUAUAUAUAUAUAUAUAAACAUGAAUAUAAACCAUAUAUAUUAGUGAUAAAUCCAAUUUUAAAAAAUUAAUAUCAUUGUUAAUAAAAUAGUAAUAAUAAUUUUCAAUAUUAUUAUUAAUAUCAUUGUUAUUGAAAAUAGUAAUGAAAAAAAGCUUUUUAUUAUUAGGCAGUUUAAUUAAUUAAAUUGAACAAGGUUCAAUUUAAUUCAAUGACUUUUUAAGAACGGAACAUAACAUGUGGAAUGAAACCGGAACGUUCCGGGCGGAAUUUAGCUGAAAAAUCCGGAACGGACCGAGAUUUAAAAUGAGAUGAAAUUUGUUCCGUUUUGUUCUGUUUUUUGAAUUGGUAUGAAAUGUUUCGGCCCUGAUGAAACGAAAUGGAAUUGACAAUCUUGCUUCUAGAGAUAUCUUUAAGAGAGAGAGAGAGAGAGAUUACAAGUCAACAAUAAAUGAUUACAAAUGAUUUCAAUCCAAUUACAGUAAAGAGGUAUAUGAAACAUUAGGUGCAUAAACACAACAUUGAAUGAAAUCCUCCACGUAAACACCAAAGCAAACAAUUAAUACACUCAGAAUCAAAACGGAAGCCACUCUGUAGUAGCUCUUUAGUAUCUUCAAAGCCCAAGCUGUCAAACACACACCAAAAGCAUACGUGUCAUCACCAAAACAAUCCAAUGGAUGCCCUUCGAUUUGAUUCCAAAAAUAUUAUAACUUGGAAAAUCUUCAGAUGCACAUGUUAAAUAUAUCAUGUAAUGGUAAACAAGAAUUAGUAAAUAAAAAACAAAGUUAAUUAAUUUGUAUCUUUCUCCUCAUCCACUAACUCUUGCUUCUUUUUUUCCCAUGAAAAAACGGAGAGCCGAAAAUAGAUUUGUUAAAAAUUAAAAUUAUAAUCUCUACGCUAAUAAUUAUAAUAGUAAAAUCUUUUACAGUUAAGAAGUAACACUGGUAGUAGAAUUUACCUGUUAAUUCCUGUCGGUCCUACAGACUUCCGUAGAGGUCUUAACUAUAAAUAGAAAUGUUUGGGAUGCGAGAAAUCUUUUGCCAAUCUUCACCCAUCUCCUCCUUCCCGUAACGUUUCCUUAGAUUGCGGCAACCACUUAUGUCCAAUCCUGUAGAGGCGCUGCCAAAACAUAGUCUGGUAGUGCUCUCAACAACGGGCAAUAUCAAUAUCAACUCUCGAAGUUGUGGCAUAAUGGAUAUUAUUGAAGUUGUGUUGGCAUCUUCUUCUCCCACUCUCCUUCAAUUCCAUCCCACUCUUCUACUUCUUGAGAUCCAAAUAUAAGUUUUUUAAUUUGGGGAAAGCAGUGACCCUUGCAAUUUCUCCUUCAUUAAUACUGGCAUUCUCAUCUUUUUCUAUACCUAAAAAUCCAGCAUCCAGCCUUCUCACCUUCACCCAUCAAUACCAGGCUUUCAAGGUUGGGCAAUCUUCCCAACGGAGGCAAGACCUCCACGUUUUCACAAUCACAGUUAAGCCCUGUAAUCUGGUUAAUGUCAUCAUCCAAUUUGGCAAUCCAACCCUCCGUACUAUAUGGUUAGAUUUCCAAGUCUGACGGAGGCUGUAAAGCUUCAAUUAAAGAGCCUUCAUUCGCUUGCAACUCUGUUAUCUCUCUGUCGAAAAACAAUCCCAAACAACGCAGGCGUUUCUUAUUCUUGAGUUGUGCUUCUGCAGCGUCACUCGCAUCUUCUUUACCGACUCCUAGAUUCUGUAUCUGAAGACUACCUCCAAUGUGAUUUAAGUUUUUUAAUUCUCUCAGAUUAGCUGCUUUACUUCCAUUCUCACCACCACCACACACAGUAAACCGAUCUAAUGUUCGAAGACAUGUUAUCCUCUCUAUUCCCUUUGGUAUGAAGGCCACUUCUGAACCAUAAAUCCGGAGAUGCCUCAAUUUGAUAAGUUUUCCAAUAGCCUUGGGCAAUUCCUUGAGAGACCGACACCAAGUAACAUCUAGGGAUUGCAGAUUGCAUAAAUCACACAUGGUUUCUGGCAGGGAUUCCAACUGAAAACAAGAUGCCAGAUUGAGGUGUCUCAAAUGUAUCAAUUUCCCUACCUCGUUUGGUAUUUCUUUGAUUGAAGACCCUGACAAAUUCAAUGACCUGAUGCAUGUCAACUGCUUGAACAAAUCAGGCAGUGCAGCUCCAAGCGAAGGGUCUCUAGUGUCGAACAAUAGGCUGCGAAGACCUUUUGCUUUGUGAAUGGACACGGGAAAAGAGGUCUCCUCUGACAGCAUCAUGCUUAAAUGACGAACCCUUUCAAUUGAAGUCUCCACUGUUGCUUCUCCAAGUGUAUUGACAUCCACUGUUAGACAUUCAUUUUUUGUCAUAUAUUGGGCAAAAUCAUGCACUAUAUCAUGCAUCUUGAAUCUAAUAUGUUCUCGAUCAUACGUCUUAAAAUCUUGGAAGAAAGAGCGCGCUGCCAAGACUUGAAAGUAAUCCUCCCCAACAAGCUCCAUGUCUCUACUUGUAGUCUCCUUAAGGUAACCUUGAGCCAUCCACAUCUUCACCAAUUCAUCUUUUCAUCGUAGUCUUUUGGAAACAUGGCACAAUACAAGAAACAUCGUCUUACCACAGAAGGUAAAUCGUAGUAACUCAAAAGCAAAGGUAAAAUAGUCCCUCUUUCAACAUGUUCUAGCUCCCACAUUCGCUAGAUAAAACACGUUCCCACUCUUCUCUUGUUCUUUUAGACUGCAUUAGACCUCCUAAUACCUUGGCAGCUAGAGGCAAGCCCUUGCACUUGCUUGCAAUUUUAUCGCCGAUAUCUGUCAAUCUUUCGCGCUCAUCUUGCUUCUUUCCUGGAAUGCCACUGAUUGAAUAUUGACCUGCAUACCUCAUCAGACAAUUUCUCAAUGUUGAUCCGGUGGUCAGUUCCCAUCAUCGUUGCCACAGAAUGUUUACGAGUGGUCACUAGAAUUCUGCUUCCUCGUGCACAGCCUGUGAGAGAUGGUUUCAGUUGUUCCCAUUGUCCAUGAUUUUCUGUCCAGACAUCAUCAAGGACAAGAAGGAACCUCUUUCCCUUAAUGGAUUCAGAAACCCUUGCAAAAGGGAUUGCAAUUCAACCAAAUCGGCCCUCCCUUCAAGCUGCUCAAGGAUAGCUUUGGCUAUUCUAACCUCAUCAAAUGGUUCUGAAACACACACCCAUAUCUUUUUCUCAAAAUGAGCCGUAACCUCAGCAUCAUUAAAAGCUAGUUGGGCGAGAGUUGUUUUUCCAAUUCCGCCCAGCCCUACUAGAGAGAUGACAUCCACGUCCCGUGCUUCCUGACUACUUUCGCCAGCAACUUGCUUACAGCUUCCUUUUCACAUCUCGACCAUCACGCUUGAUUCAUCAACAAAGGAGGUACUUGUUAUUCGUUGGAGUUCAUCAGUGGCUUGUACAGAUCAAAGCCAUACAUAGCUCUCUCUUUGGCAAUCUCCACUUUUUCACAUACUUCUUUGAUCUUGAGGGCAAUGUCUCGACGUCGAACCACUUGAUUGAAACAAAAGCAAGGAGAUCUCAGGAAGGAACACCGUAUCUUCUGUCGGCUGUGAGUAUUUUCUUCAGAAUCCCCCAUUUUCCAUGUAAGAAUUGCAGAGCUCCAUUCAUCUAGCACGUCAUCCAUAUCAUAGCAUACAUCUUUGAGCUUGUCUACCCAAUCCCUUACAGCCUUAUCCUUCACUUGUUUUCUAUCUGCAUUUUCUCUAAAAUAAAAUGACUCGUAAAUAAUGUAAUGCUAAUGCCACUAUUAUUGUACUUAAAUUUACUAGAUGAGUGAAUUAAAAUAUAUUUUAUUUGAAUAUAGGAUUUCUUUAGAUAAAAGAAUUCAUAGAUAUUAUAAUAAUCAUAUAAUUAUGUAGCGCAAUACAUUGCAAUUUCACAAUAUUAUUAUGUGACUUUUAAUAGUUAUGCAUAGUCUAUUUUUAAAAAAAAUCUGUGAGGUUGAUCAAAAUAAAAAAGAAAUAUUAGAAUUUCUAUAAUCAUGUUUGUGAUCGAAUAUUUGACUAUAUUUAUUUUAAUCAUUUUAUCAUAAUAAUUUUAUUACAAAUAUAGUUAUUUAUGCAUUCAAAUAUGAUAAGGAAUUGUGAAAAAGGGAAUUUACUACUAUUUUACUAUAUUGAUUUGUUCUAACCAGCCAUCACAAUAACCAUAUUUUGUAUAGCACAAAAGAUAUAAAGAAAAAGAAAGAUAAUCGUAAGAACCCGCUAUCUAGUAAAAUAAUAUAUAUAUAUAUAUAUAUAUAUAUAUAUAUAUAUAAAUCAAGGUACUGAAUUAACUAAUUUUAACAGAUAUUCUAUAAGAUAAUGAAAUCAAUGUAUAAUGAACUAUAAAUGUAGAAAAGUAAUUAAGUACCUGUUGAUUAUAAAAGAAAGAAAGGAAACAAAAAAGAGUACCUGUAGAGUAACGAUCGUGGUUAACUGGUCCAAAAUCGGGGAUACAAGUGCGUCAGCCAUUGUUGUUCUUACUACUGAAUGUGUCAAGAAAAAGGAGAGAAAGUAAUGGGGCGUUGUUGACUGAUGAAAUGAGAAGUUGAUGAAGAUAGGAAGGAUAGUGAUCGACUGUGGAGUGCCAGAGAAAAUUAAUUUGAGGUUAUUUUCAAUGAAGUUUAGGCAAUAUAUACUGCAAAUUAAGAUAAUUUGCUUAAGACUGAUGCAAGGUUGAUGCAAGCAAAGAAUGAUUCUGAACUUCAGCAUAAAGCAGCUAAUUUCCUACAAGGUUGAUGCAAGCAAAGAAUGUCACUGAAACAACGAGAAAAUAUGCGUAAGAAGGAAAAGGAAAAGGCAAAGGUAAGUCUAGAACUAGCCAUUGCUUCACUUUGGGUUCAAGUAUAAUGCAUCAGUCAUCAGUCAUUUUCCUAUUUGUAUGUUUAUAUGGAAAUGACCUGUCGUUUUGAGUUCCAAAAGUGAAAGGCCCAUUUUUUUGCCUUAAUUUUAAAACAAAUAAAUAAUCAUUAACAUACCUAAAAAUAAAAUUUAAAAAUUAAAAGAUAAAUAUAGAUCAAGAUAUUUAAUUUUACAAGAUGAGACAUUUAUCUAUUUGCUAAAUUUUUUUAUUAAUUUUUUUUAAUUUAAUCAAACAAUAAUAAAAAUAAACAAAUAUAUUAAAUUGAUUGAAUAAAAUAAAAAGAAAACAGGAAUAAUAUGCAAGGCUACACAUAUUAGAAAUAUCAUCUAAAAAAAUUGAUUGAAUAAAAUAAAAAGAAAACAGGAAUAAUAUGUAAGGCUACACAUAUUAGAAAUAUCAUCUAAAAAUAAAUAUUUUUUAUUUUUAAAAAUACAGUUCAUCUAUACAAAAGACAAAAAAAAUUAUAAAUAAAUCAGAAAAAUCUCUUUAAAAAUUAAACAUAUAACAAAAAAAUCAAUAUUAUUUAAAAGAUACUGUCUGAACAAAAUUCUACUGUGGAGCGCAAGAGAAAAUUAAUUUGAGGUUGUUCUCAAUGAAGUUUAGGCAUUGAGAACAAAGAUCAAAUUGGAUGUUUUGCACUUUGGAGUUUGGAUAAUGAUAUUGUAAUGUUUUGAAUUAAUGAGAUAGGAAAAGCCUAGAAACCCCUUGAAGGCUUAGAUGUAGGAAUAAAUUAAAUGAGGGGUAUAGUAGUAAUUGGAUAAAUAGUUGAUAAAUAUAAAUAGGAAGUAAAAAAAUAAAAUAAAUAUAGAAAUCUGAUUUUGAGAGGAAGAGAAUCGGCAGAAGUGAGAAAGGAAAGAAGAAGAAGAGAAAAGAGGGGAAAAUAAGGGGAAAAAGGAAGAGAAUUGGAGGAAAUAAGUGAAAAAGGUAAGAUUUAGGUUGUUUAAUGUGUAUAAUAUGUUAAUUAAGUUUUAAUUUCAGUUUUAUGAAUGUUAGGGUUUUGAGAAUUUGUGUUCGAUUUAAAUGAUGAAUUAAAUUGAAGGUUAGGGGUGAUUGUUGUUGUUUAAUUGAUGAUUUAGUUGAUUAUGGAAGAUUAUGAUGAUUUGAGUUAUAGAAUUGUGUAAAUGGUGAAAAUUGAGUUAGAAAUCAGGGAGAACAGUGGGGUUUCUGUUAAAAUCUGGACUGGAGGUUGAAGAUGACGAAAAAUUCAAUUUGGUCCCUCAAUUCAGAAAAUUACAGUUAGUCCCCGAACUUUGGAAAAUUACAAAUUGGUCCCUGGAGCAUAUUCCGAGAUUCUGAACAGAAUAACAUAUGAAUUAUGGACAUAAUUACUGUAUAGAUAAGAGAAUUUAACACUUUCAAUUUAGUCCUCCAAUUUGACAAAAAGUACAAUUUGACCCUAAAAAUUUAGUAAAAUUCCAGAAUGAUCCCUGAAGCAUAAUGAUACAUCCUGGACAGAAUUGAGGAUUAAUUAAGGUCAGAAUUUCAGUAUAUUCAUGGAUUUAUGACAAAUUUCAGUUUGGUCCUCCAAUUAGACAAAAGUUACAAUUUGGCCCUAAAAAUAUGAUAAGUUCCAGAUUAGUCCCUAGCUGUAAUAUUAGCUUUUGCAGAUUAGUUUGAUGAAUAAUUAAGGGUUAUUUAGUGAAUUAUUACCAAUUUUAUUAGUUGUUUUUAUUAUGGAUUAGAUUUCGGGAAAACCGUUAGAUUUUGGGUUUUUAAGAAAAUUGACUAGUUAGUUCAAAAACAUAUAGGGUUACGGAAUACACCCUUAGUUAAGUGUAUUAAAUAUUAAAUGUUCUUUCGAGUCGUUUUUGAAUAUGUCUCCUUUGUAUUCAGAUAAUCCUGAUAUUCUACCGGCAGGACGUCAGUAGAAUUUCCUUCGGUUUCAGCUUGUGUGUGUUGUUUGCUUUUGAGUCAGGUGAGUGGAUAAUUUUCCAUAUGCAUGAGAAAUAUUAUAAAUAUUUGAUUUGUUAAUAUGAAUUGGAUCAUGCUUCUUGAUAAUAUAUAUGCUGAUUAUUAUCCUUGAUAUGAUAAAGCAUGAUCAAUUAUUGAAUCUGAUUUCUUGAUAUGAACCAAUAUGAUUUGACUUCUGAAUUGAUAGCUCCUCAUUUGAUGGAUGUCAUGAGUUGAGCUUUGAGAUAUGAAUAUGUUUGUUUGAUUAUGAUUAUGAACCUAUGGUAUGUCAGUCAGAAUACCCAUGCUAACAGGGUAGUGUUAGUCUUUGUGCACAUCGUAUCUGAACCCUAGUUGGUCGGGGGAGUCACCAACCUGUGUGGACUGAUCAUCCCACAGUACGGAGCCUCAUGCUCAUUGCAUUUUGAUUUUCUGACGAGUUUUACCAUAUGAUAUUCUUGUUAUGGCCUAUUUGAUAAACCUUCGUAUAAGAACUAAAGCCAUACUUGUAUAUAUAUUUCUCAUUGUUAUAUUACCUCGUAUGUGUAUAUUGAAUGUUAUCUACUCACUGAGUUGUUGAACUCACCCUCUCAUUAUUUAUUCUUUUCAGGCUUAUAGCUUGAUAGCGGGUUACUUUUGUUGAACCUUCCGAACCUGCUUUUGGUUGUAAUUUGUAUCUUUCUUUUUAUGUCAAGUUAGUGCUCCAAAACUAUGAAAAAUUAUUAACUCUUGUAUUAAGACAAUUACAUUAUAUUAUGAAGUUGUUUGUUGUUAAUUAUGCGUUAAACUCUGAUUGAGUUGUUUAAAGGAUUGUAUGUAAGUUUGGGUUCGCAUAGGUUUGGAACCUUGGAGGGGAACCUUGCCUAUGUGCCGGUCAUGGAUCCGGGAUUCGGGUCAUGACAGAUAUUAAUCUUUGUUGUUUGGGGAUUAAGAAUUUGGUGAUAAAUUUCUUGUUGUGAAAUAGUUAUGGUAAAAUAUAAGAUAAAUCCUAGUGAACACGUCUUCCCAAAAUACACUGCGUGUACUGGACUCUCAAUGUUCAUUUUUGCCUCAUUUUGCCUUAAUUAAUUUUAACUGCAAAACAACUAGCUCAGUACCGCACCAGCAAACGAGAAUGGAAAAGCUCACCAAGAUGCCCUCAAAUUAAUGGAGUCAAUGGAGAAAAAAACUGGAGCUGCUGGAGGCCAGACGGCACAUGGUGGAAUAGUUCAUGCCCUGGCAUGCGUCAUCACUGUUCCACCAUGUGCCGUCGCGACCUCCAUUGAACAACAAUGAAAAACAUAUACGAAUUUAGCUUCAUGUCUUUAUAAGAGAAUUUCAUAAACAUACCAUAACAAAAAAUAUCAUAAAAUAAAUCUCUUAAAAAAUAAAAAUACAAUAAACAUGUAGGUUCAUAUUAUAAGAUAAUCAGUUUAUAUAAAUUGUUGACACCCCCAAUCAAUUAAGGAUCAAAUACGAUAUAUAUAAAUAUUAACAAUUAACAAGAUCUUAUUAGCAUGAAUAUUCUAACUAUUAUAUCAUAGGGUUAUAAUCAAACGAACAAAAUCAUUUUCUAAAAGCUCAACUCAUAUAAUUAAUUAAAUAAAAAACUAUCAAUUUAAAAAUACAUAAUUGCUCAAAUCAAGAAAUCUAUCUCAAUAAAUAAUAAUGUUUUAUAGAACAACAGAUAAUAAAUAUUAUAUAAAUUACUAAGAAGUACUAUCAAUUUAAUAUUAAUAAUUUGACUAUUUAUACUACUCCUCUGCAGCAUAUGAGAUAGUAAGUGAUAGAAUGGUCCCCAUGUUAUGGUUUAUAUUUUGCUUUAAACAGAGUAUAGUUGUACUAAAAAUACACCCCUUUCCCGAAAGGAAGGGGAAGAACACAAUCAAGGGAUUUCUUGUUGUUUGACUUCUCAUGUUUCUCUCCCACCACGGGCAACUGUUUAUUUUCGCCAAGGUGAAUUGAGGCUUCAAGUAGAAGAAAUUAUUUACUGGUUAGAAACUUGGUCGAUUUCACUGUUGUCUUUGAGACAAAUGAAACUGAGGUUUUUGGUUUGCAAUUUGGGCAGAUAAGGAUAAUCCUUAUUGUUUGGUGUUUGAGAAUUUGGUGCUAAAUUUCUUGUUGUAAAUUGCAGAAAAUAGUCAGGGUAAAAAUUUAAGAUGAAUGCUAGGGUACACAUCUUCCCAAAAUGCACUGGGUUCUGGAUUCUCAAUGUUCAUCUUGCAGUUUGACAAGAGAAUCUUUCCUUCACUUACACUAUCUUUUUGUUUGUUUGGCCGAUGCAUGAUUUUUUUACCUCAUUUUUCCUUGAUAAAUUCUAACUACAAAACAGCUACUUCACCAACAAGAUGGAAAAGGCUCACCAAGAUGUUCUCUUUGAAAAGAUUCUCAGUGAGUCGUUGACAUCUCAUUUUUGGAAUUUCUCCAAUAGCUUGAUGUCUACUCUCACUAUAUUGAGUAGGAUGACUAUAGAAUUACUCUGAUUUAUCAACACAUAUCAAAUUCUUGCUGCUGCUGAGGAAGAUAUCUGCACUUAGCCAUCAUAGAGGGUAGCGAAUUUUGUGUUGAUGGAAAUUACACUGACUCAUUGUGUACCAUCUAGAAUUCAAUUUUAAAAAAAAUUGCAAGAAAUGUUGUUUUUUCCUAAAUACAUCAAUCGGGUGUGGAUAGCUUGAUUAAAAUGCGACUUACUAAAAAGUCUUGGUCUUAAUAUGCAAAGAUGAUCCAAGUAUACCAUAUUUCUUUUAAAAUAAAACCCACAGAUCUAGUCCACGCAAAGGUACUGGAAUAUGGAUUUGUAAAAAUAAAAAUGAAAAUUUAUACGAAAUUGAAUUGUGCUAAAAAAACCCACAGAUCUAGUCCAUGAUCUACGGCUCCUCCAGAGUUCCGUAGUGGUGUCUUUCUCAACUAUUCUUUAAAUAAAAUGUGUGGGAUGUGAGAAAUCUUGUGCCUAUCUUCACCCCUCUCCUCCUUCCCGUAACGUUUCCUUAGAGAAUUUAUGUAGAGGCGCUGUCAAAACAUAGUCCGGUAGUGCUCUCAACAAUGGGCAUUUGAGAAUUCUAAACUCAACAAGUUGUGGCAUGAUGAAUAUUGAAGUCGUGGUGGAAUCUUCUUCUCCCACUCUCCUUUCAAUCCCAUCCCACUCCUCUAGUUCUUUGAGAUGCCAUAUGCUAAGUCUUUUCAAUUUGGGGAAAGCAGCGACUCUUGCAAUUUCUCCUUCAUUAAUAUUGGUAUUGCCACCAUUUUCUAUGCCUAAAAAUCCACCAUCCAACCUUCUCAGCUUCAUGCUCAUCCAUCUGAAAAUCUUGGAAGAAAGAACGUGCUACUAAGACUUGAAAAUACUCCUCUCCAACAAGCUCCAUACCUCUACUUGGAGUCUCCUUAAGAUAACCUUGAGCCAUCCACAUCUUCACCAACUGGUCUUUUUCCAUCUCGUAGUCUUUUGGAAACACCGUCUUGCCACAGAAGGUAAAUCGUAGUAACUCAAAAGCGGAGGUGGAAAUAGUGCUAUUUCAACAUGUUCUAGCUCCCACAGUUCGCUAGAUAAAACAUGUUCCCACUCUUCUCUUGUUCUUUUACACUGCACUAGACCUCCUAAUACCUUGGCAGCUAGAGACAAGCCCUUGAACUUGCUUGCAAGGAGAUCCCAGGAAGGAACAUCGUAUCUGCUGUAGGCUGUGAGUAUUUUCUUCAGCAUCCCUCAUUUUUCAUGUAAGAAUUGCAGAGCUCCAUUCAUCUAGCACAUCAUCGAUAUCAUAGCAUACAUCUUUGAGCUUGUCUAGCCAAUCUCUUGCAACCUUAUCCUUCACUUGCUUUCUAUCUGCAUCUUCAAGGACAGAUUGGAUAGCAAGGAGAUUGCUUUUCAGCUUGUCGACACACCCCCUACUAGGUUCACCUCUUCCUGUACCUAUUGGUGCAGAAAAGAUAAGAAAGUUGAAGCAGAGGAAACAUUUCUAUGAUUUCUUUAAACAGUAUCUCACAUAAUUUAAUCUCCUGAACUACUAACUAAAGUGUUGAGAGCCAAUUUAAGUUCUCAAGGCUGAAGACCCCAACUAGACUACUGUUACCUAGAAUUCAUUUUACCUACAAUACUCAGUAUGUGUGGCAGAAAAUCGCAAUACCUAAAUGGCUGAAUUUACAAGUAUAUCAAUCAAUUAUGUAAUGAACCGGGUGCAAGUGCAUGGCGCAAGUAUAUUAAACCUACUGAAUUUUUCUUCUACUUUUUAUAUACCAAACCUUGUAAAAAACACCACUGCUCAAAUUCAAAAAUAAAAAGUGGAGGAAAUUUUAAAGUGAUGUACCCCUCUUUGAGUGUCAAGAUAGCGGUGUGUACAGCAUCAUCAAGCUCCAUAUCAUCAGUGUAUCUACAGAGCACAUAUUAAGUUAGGGAAAACAAAAGUUGUUCAAAUCAAAUGAAGAUAUGUGGACAAAAAACAAAAAUAUUUACCAUGUUUCUGUCCAUUCAAUUCUUUUUUUCUCACUUUCUUUUUCUUUUUUCAAAAAAAAGAAAGGCAAUCCAAUUCUUCUUGGAUGGGGUGUAGCUCAAAGUAAGCUGGCAGUUGAAAAUUGAAGGUGGCUUGAUCUUUGAAUGAAGAAUAUGUUUGGCAGUUGAUGGCUGGAGGUGGAAACACAUUUGUUGCUAGCUAGGAGAACCCAUGAAGAUGUUUAGAAGUUUUUGCAGAAUCAAUGCAUUUCAUGGUACCAAAAACAAAUAAAUACCUCUUCUCAAGAAAUGUUUUUGCAUUUGAAACAUUUUUCCCCAUUGCUGAGGCUUUCCAUGAGAAGUAGGAACCUGAUGGAUCGACCUAGCCAAACAAAUACAAAACAUAACAUCAUCGAAAAUGACAAGAAAAUGAGAAAAAAAGAAGAAGAGAGAGAGCUUAAAUUGCAACAACAUUUGAUUCCGAGAGAAGUUUGGCCUGAUCCAACGGCAGUCAAUGCGUGCUCAAUCUGUACUGGCUUUCCGGUAGGACUGAAAGUAGUGAGAGAAAAGGAGUACUGGCUAUCACCCAUGGUUUAUUGCUUGAAGACGCAGAGAGGAAAAACUGAGAAUGCGAGCGUGUGGGAGAGAAAGGCAGGGAUAUUUACUUGGGGUUUUAACUUUGCUUUUCUCGUUGGAGAAGAAGGUGUUUUCUUACGAGGGCUUUUACAAUGGAGUAUAUUGGGCUUUUAUGACGGCAGGUUAGUCCUCUUUACAUUGAGCUCAGUGAAGGCUCGGAACCAGUUUUGUUUUUAAGAAUUAUUAACAAAUUUUAUUUAUUUAUUAAUAUACAUAAUUUUAAUUUAUUUAAUUACAUUUAUAUAUAAAAUUUUUAAUUUAUUAUAUUUUUUUGAACUAGAAAAAUAUAUUUAAAGAACUGCAUGUAUAAAUGUUUAUAAAAAAUAAAAAUAUUUGACUCACAAUAAAUCAUCCAUACUCUUAUAAAAAAGAUGAGUUGCUGCUGAAUUUUGUUGUUGAUUUGUAAUUUAAUUAUUGUUGAAGAUUUUCUGUGUUAGGUUUGGAUAACUUUAUUUGGAUUUAAUCCACUGAAACUGAGGUUUAAGAAUUUCUUGGAUUUAAUCCACUGAAACAGUUGCUUGAUCAAGAUCAUUGGCUUGUUUGUAGGCAGAUAAAGGCAUAAAAAAAAAAACAAAUAUCAUCUUAGAUUAAUUAUAGAUAUGAGUUACAGUAGUUGAAAUUUGAAAGGCAAUUUUUUUAGCGUGGCAUUUGGAGAAUUUAAGUAAGGAAUAAGCUUCACGUGAGCGAGUUAAUAUCACAGCUGCAUUUGAUAGAUUAAAUGAUAAGUAGGAAAUAAAAUCGAAUUACAGUAAAGUUUGAAUGAAAUCCUCCAUGUAAGUAAAGAGGUCACAUAGAGUAAAUAGUAAGGCUUACAUAUUAUUUACAUUCAACCUUAGCAAACACCAAAGCAAAUAAUUAAUACACUCAGAACCAAAUCUUUUACCGUAGAAGAAUUUACUUGUUCCUGCCGGUCCAACAGACUUCCGUACGUUGUGGUGUCCCAUAGAUAUGAUCACUAAAACGAAUGUUUGGGAUGUGAGAAAUCUUUUGCCAAUCUUCACCCAUCUCCUCCUUCCCGUAACGUUUCCUUAGAUUGGGGCACCUUUGUAUGUAUAAUUCCUGUAUAGGCGCUGCCAAAACAUAGUCUGGUAGUGCUCUCAACAACGGGCAAUGACGAAUUCUCAACUCUCGAAGUUGUGGCAUAAUGGAUAUUAUUGAAGUUGUGUUGGCAUCUUCUUCUCCCACUGAUCUCCUUUCAAUUCCAUCCCACUCUUCUACAUCUCCGAGAAAAAAAAACGUAAGUGUUUUUAAUUUGGGGAAAGCAGUGAUCCUUGCAAUUUCUCCUUCAUUAAUACUGGCAUUCUCAUCUUUUUCUAUACCUAAAAAUCCAGCAUCCAACCUUCUCACCUUCAUCAAAAUCAAAUCCAGGCUUUCAAGGUGGGGCAAUCUUCCCAACGGAGGCAAGACCUCCAGCUUUGUACAAUUAUCCAGUCUAAGCGCCUGUAAUCUGGUUAAUGUCAUCAUCCAAUUUGGCAAAUCCAACCCUCCGUACCCAUAUAUGCUUAGAUUUUCCAAGUCUGGCGGAGGCUGUAAAGCUUCAAUUAAAAUGCCGUUAUCCUGGUUGUGGUUGAAAUACAAUUCCAAACGAAGCAGGCGCUUCUUAUUCUUGAGUUGUGCUUCUGCAGCGUCACUCGCAUCUUCUUUACCUCCUCCUAGCUUCCGUAUCUCAAGACUCCCUCCAAUGUGAUUUAAGUCUUUUAAAUCUCUUAGAUUAGCUGCUUUACUUUCAUUCUCACCACCACCACACACACUAAACACAUCUAAUGUUUGAAGACAUGUUACCCUCUCUAUUCCCUUUGGUAUGAAGGCCACUCUUGAACCAUAAAUCCGGAGAUGCCUCAAUUUGAUAAGUUUUCCAAUCGCCUUGGGCAAUUCCUUGAGAGACCAACACCAAAUAACGUCUAGGGAUUGUAGAUUGCAUAAAUCACACAUGGUUUCUGGCAGGGACUCCAACUCUCCACAGGCUACCAAAUUGAGGUGUCUCAAAUGUAUCAAUUUCCCUAACUCCUUUGGUAUUUCUUUGAUUGAAGACCUUGACAAAUUCAAUGACCUGAUGCAUGUCAACUGUUUGAACAAAUCAGGCAGUGCAGCUCCAAGCGAAGGGUCUCUAGUGUCGAUCAAGAGGCUGCGAAGACCUUUUGCUUUGUGAAUGGACACGGGAAAAGAGGUCUCGUUGGGCAGCAUCAUGCUUAAAUGACGAACCCUUUCAAUUGAAGUCUCCAUUGUUGCUUCUCCAAGUUUACUGGCAUCCACUGUUAGACAUUCAUUUUUUGUCAUAUAUUGGGCAAAAUCAUGCACUAUAUCAUGCAUCUUGAAUCUAAUAUCUUCUCGACCAUACGUCUUAAAAUCUUGGAAGAAAGAGCGCGCUGCUAAGACUUGAAAGUACUGCUCUCCAAUAGCCUCCAUAUCUCCACCUGAAGUCUCCUUGAGGUAACCUUGAGCUAUCCACAUCUUCACCAAAUCAUAUUUGCGCAUCUCGUAGUCUUUUGGAAACAUGGCACAAUACAAGAAACAUCGUCUUACCACAGAAGGUAAAUCGUAGUAACUCAAAAGCAAAGAUAGAAAUAUUCCUCUUUCAACCUGAUCUCUAUCAACCUCAUCUAGCCCCCACAGUUCGCUAUAUAAAACACGCUCCCACUCUUCUCUUGUUCUUUUAAACUGCAUUAGACCUCCUAAUACCUUGGCAGCUAGCGGCAAGCCCUUGCACUUGUUAGCAAUUUUAUCACCGAUAUCUGUCAAUCUUUCACGCUCAUCUUUGCUUCUUUCCUGGAAUGCCACAUGAUUGAAUAUUGACAUGCAUAUCUCAUCAGACAAUUUCUCAACAUUGAUCUGGUGGUCAGUUCCCAUAAUCGUUGCCACAGUGCCCUUACGAGUGGUCACUAGAAUUCUGCUUCCUCGUGCACAGCCUGUGAAAGAUGGUUUCAGUUGUUCCCAUUGCCUAUGAUUGUCUGUCCAUACAUCAUCAAGGACAAGAAGCAACCUCUUUCCCUUAAUGGAUUCAGAAACCAUUUGCAAAAGGGAUUGCAAUUCAAUCAAAUUCGGUUCACUCCCUUGAAGCUGCUCAAGGAUAGCUUUUGCUAUUCUAACCUCAUCAAAUGGUUCUGAAACACAUACCCAUAUCUUUUUCUCAAAAUGAGCCGUUACCUCAGCAUCCUUAAAAGCUAGUUGGGCGAGAGUUGUUUUUCCAAUUCCGCCCAGCCCUACUAGAGUGAUGACAUCAACGUCCCGUGCUUCCUGACUACUUUCACCCACCAACUUGCUUACAAUAGUUUUCUUUUCAACAUCUCGACCAAUCACGCUUGAUUCAUCAACAAAGGAGGUACUUGUUAGUCGUUGUAGUUCAUCAGUGGCUCUGUACAGAUCAAAGCCAUACAUAACUCUCUCUUUGGCAAUGUCAUCCACUUUUUCACAUACUUCUUUGAUCUUAAAGGCAAUGUCGCGACGUCGAACCACUUGAUUGAGACAAAAGCGAGGAGAUCUCAGGAAGGAACAUCGUAUCUUCUGUAGGCUGCGAGUAUUUUCUUCAGCUUCCUCCAUUUUCCAUCUAAGAAUUGCAGUGCUCCAUUCAUCUAGCACGUCAUCCAUAUCAUAACAUGCAUCUUUGAGCUUGUCUACCCAAUCUCUUACAGCCUUAUCCUUCACUUGUUUUCUAUCUGCAUCUUCAAGGACAGAUUGGAUAGCAAGGAGAUUGCUUUUCAGCUUGUCACAUUGUUUCUUCACACCCACUACUAGGUUCACCUCUUCUUGUACCUAUUAGUGUACAAAGGAAAAGAAACGCUAAGCAUGGGAAACAUUUCUGUGAUUUCAAGACAAUUUCACACCCCCUACUAGGUUUACCUCUUCCAAUACCUAUUAUUGUAGAACAGACAAGGAAGUUCAAGCAUAGGAAACAUUUCUAUUUUGUAUUAAUAUAUUUUAUUGUGAAAUGGAUUUACUAUAUUAAUAUUUUAUAUAUAAUUAAUAUAGGCAUGAAAAGAGUUCAAUAUUCUCACGAGAGAAGUAAUAUUUCUCCUUUGAACCGACAUAAAAUCUGGUUUUCAUUUUACAUUAAACUAUAGAUAUAUGGAUGUAUAAAGGCAAGUGAAUAAAAGGAUCUGCAUGUAUAUAUUUGUGAAGUCAAUUUAGAAAUAAAGGCAUGAUAAUAAGAUUGUGUGAUAACUAUAUAGUUUUAAUUCACACCAAAUACUCACUCGCUAAUCCUUUGAACUUUUUAUUGAUUAUUUUACCUUUAAUAGUUCAGUUUAAAGAGAAUUGGCAACUCUUGUUUUGUCUUUUUUGGUUUUCUUAUAUUUGGAAUGAUAUAUUUUCUUUAUGUUAUUUUUAGAAAUAUAAAAAAUAAUAAAACUAGAAAAAGAAGUCUUUAAUAAAAUCGAAAUAUAUACUUGAGGAUUUAAAAUAUUAUUUUUAUUUUUUCAAGUUAAAAGUAUUCAUUUUAUGAGAGGAAGAUAAAAGGCUUGAACUUUAUAUAUAUUUCUUAUCUUUGCCAGGUAAAUCAGGUUAUUGCAGAUGGCAGAAAAAUACCUGUUGAGCAACGAUCGUGGUUAAGUGCUCCAAGAUCGGAGAUAGAAGUGCCUCAGCCAUCGUCUGUUUAGUUCUGAUUGGAGAGAGAGAAGCAGUGAUGAUAGGAAGACAGAGAGAAAGAGAGGGUGAAGGGAAGGAGGCGGCUGAUUGUGAAUGGAAGUUAGUUUAUAUACUUAGGGUUUGGCGUUGCAGGUGAAGCUUUUGUAUUUUAGUGUCUCCACAUUUUCUUAUUAGUAUUUGUAGGGACAGGGUAAAGGGAGAUCAGCGCACCUUGUAAUUUUAGCUGGCAGUAAACCUGAAGCAUAGUUUUAAAACCCGGACCGGCCCGGCGGGUCGAUCUGGGACCGGUUCGGGUGAAGGCCAAAACCCGUUUGGAAAUUGACCCGGCUAGACCGGGGACCUGGUUGACCCGGCAAGACCCGGUCUCAAACCCGUUGACUUUUAUUUUUUUUUGUUUUUUUUUUUUUGCUAAAACGACGUCGUUUUGAUUUUUUUUAAAAAAAAUAAAAAAUAAAUUUUGACCCGGCCGACCCGGUCAAGACCCGAUGACCAGGUCAAAACCAGGAACCCGGGCCUUGGACCGGGCCGACCACCGAGCCGGAUCUUAAAACUAUAACCAGAAGUAAUGAGAAAAUAAUUUUAGCCAGCCGGCCCAAUCUAUUUUAGGCUAAUAGUGUGUUAGGCAAAACACAUAUAAGCCUUAUCCCUUUAUUUUAUUAUUUUUUAUUUUAAUAUUUAGCUAAAUAAUUUUUUUUGAAAAUCAAAAAUCAUUAUGAAUGUUUUUGAAUUUAUUUAUGGGUUUCUUUUUUUAUUAUUAUUCAUUGUAUAUUUGUAUAUUUGAUUUUGUGGAUUUUUAUGGUGGAAUGUAAAUAUAGUAUACGAUACAUUUGUUUCUCUUAAAAAAAUAUGUAUGUUUUAAUUUAAAUUCAUUUUAUUCAUUAAUCUAACAACUAUGUAAGUUUCUAGUGACCUUAAGAUUUGUGAGACUGGAACUAGUAAUUUGAGGUUCAACAUCCCAGGUCGAGAAUUAGGUCUUAAUAUGGAAGGGUUAAUCUAGGUUAACCUAAUUUUUUUAAUAAAAAAAUUAAAAUAAUAUCGUUUUGACCGAAUUUUUUUUUUCCAAAAACAAAACUACCAAUAUUUAAACAAGUUUUACUUGAGUCUAUCGGGAUAUUUUAACCAGGUCAAACCAUAUUAAUUCUUUUCUUUAUUAUAUUUUUUUGAAGUUCUUACCUUUAUUACCAAAAAAAUCCCCUUAAUUUCAGAGUCCUUACAUCUCUAAUUAAUUAUAAUUACCUUACCAGUCAUAAUGUUCUUUUCUGUACCUGAUGAAUGAUAUUAUUUCUGAGAUUUUUGAACAUGUAAUGACGGAAGCCUGCGCUGGGCUGGUUCCCUUUGUUACGUUGCUGGAGUCGCAAUGUUUCGAGGUAUCAGACCAAAUUAAUUCUCUUGCUUUUUGCAGCAAAGCUGUAUCUCUUGCUACUUGCUAGAAGCGUAAUCUCAGGAUACCACUGUUUUGGUGUUGCCUCUCUCACCAUUGUUAUUAGGUUGAAUUAAAUACCAGAAGAUUUCUGAGUAUGCAAUGACUGUAUGAUUUAACUAACCAAUACACUAUCAAGGGUGUGGCGUAUGAACUUCAUGCGCCGGCGUGUGUCACCACCGUUCCACCGUGUGCCGUUGCGGCCUCCCCAUUGAAGGUCCAAUUUUCAAGCUCACAAGCAUGACAUCUUUAAACCUUACUUGAGGUUCAACAUCCUAGGUCAAGAAUUAAGUCUAGCAUGAAAGGUUAAUCCAAGUUAAUUUAAUUUUUUUUUAAAAAAAAAAUUAAAAUAACAUAGUUUUGAUUGAUAUUGAUUUUUUCAAAAAAAAAAAAUCCAACAAUAAUUAUAUUUUAACCAGGUCAAUUCAUAUUAAUUCUUUUCUUUAUUAUAUUUUUUGAAGUUCUUACCUUAAUUACCAAAAAAUAUCCACUUAAUUUUGAGAUAUAUUCAAUUUGGUUUUGUAAACAGUACCUUAACAUAUUUUGAUUGAAAUUGAUUUUUUUUUUAAAAAAACCCAACAAUAUUUAAAUAAGUUUUACUCGGGUCUACCAAGAUGUUUUAACCAGGUCAAGGCAUAUUAAUUCAUUUUUUAAAUUAAGUUCUUACCUUAAUUACCAAAAAAAAAAUCAGCUUAAUUUUGAGAUAAAUUAAAUUUGGUCCUAUAAACAGUACAUUUUAUUUAGUUGAUCCAUCGAAUAUCUGGUGCUAUUCAAUUCAAUUUAACCAAACUUUUAUUUGGUUGAGAAGAAUUUGACAAUCAGAAUCCUGUAAUAUUGAUGAUGGCUCUUGAACUGGAAACCAUGUUUAUAUCGCAGAUAUAUUCUUGGACACCAUUCAUAUAAAGGUGAACAAUUAAGCACUCUCAAAAACCAAAUCAUAGGGAAGAGCUCAUCAACUCGAGCGCCACCAGAGAUUUACAUUUGCAUGUGAGUUGGGAUGCAAGAAUCAAUGAUUCUUAUGAGGCUGAUCACACAAUUCUAUGUGAAUUUGGGUGCGCAAUACUUUUAAGGAGAGAACUCAUCCUAGUCCAAGCACAUUAAACUUCGGAAUUCUUAUGGCAUAAGGUGUACGAUACUAAAUACACAAGUCCUAGUUAAUAUCCUCUACCAUGCAAUGCAGUGGUUCAGUCGCACCAUUUCAAAUUGUUAUUAUGUCUAUAAUCUAUGUUCAGGUACUGCAAUCUAUCUUGAAUUCAUGGUCUUCACUUAAUAACAAGUUUGGUCUGGAGAAUCCUUUAACUUGAAAGGGGACUUGUCUUUUACUUGUAGAAAUGCCAACAUUAAAUUGUUAAUAUUAAAUUUUUUUCUAUUUAGUUAUUAAACUUUCAUGACACGGAUUCCGGGUUUGACAGGUUAACCUGGUUUGACGAGUUAACCCAGUUAAUUCUGGGCUAACCCAUUAAUUUGUUUUUUCCUUUUUAAUUAUCAAACUUUCACGAUGUGAAUUCAAGGUAUGAUGGGUUAAUCUGGUUUGAAAGGUUAACCCAAUUAAUUCAUAUUUUUUUUCUUUUUUUUCAUUAGUUUUUUUUUUCUGUUGGUUUUUUUCUUUGUUUUUUUCUUUUUAACUAAUCUAUUUAAUUAUCACACUUUUAUGACACGACCUUGCAGCCAGAUCUACGUCCAAUGCUAUUGGGUAUAGUAUUGUAGUGCAUACACUUUUAUGCUAAGAGUUAACCCAAGUUUAAUGUUAUUAUUAAUAUUAUAAAUAUUACUCUUGGAUCAGGCGUUGCAACUAAAUCUAAAAUUCUUGGAUAUAACUUUGUAAAAAAACCUAAUAUUUUUAGAUCUUGGCUUUUUUUUAAAUGUAAAAAAUAAUUAACCUAUGGCAUCGCGCGGGGCAUGUAACUAGUAAUUUCUAAAAGGAAACUCAUCCUAAACUUCGGAAUUCUUAUGAAUUAAGUGUACCAGGCUAAAUAUCCUCUACCAUGUAAAGUAGUGAUUCGGUCGCUCCAUUUCAAAGUAUUUUUAUGUCUAGAAUUUAUAUGUUUUGGUAACUUUUUUUUUUUUCUGGGUGUUCAUGGUCUUCACUUAAUAAAAGGUUUGGUCUGGAGAGUCCUUGAACUUAAAAGGGGCUGUGAUGGCAUUUGGAAGGCACACGUACUGGGGGACUUGUCUUUUACUUGCAGAGAUCAUAUCCAUUGGUGAACAUUUUUCGCGUUAGGUUUGGAUAACUUUAUUAUGAUUUAAUCCACUAAAUCAAUGUGUAUCAUGUUUAAAAAAGAAAAAAGAAAAAACAGAGAGAGAGAGACGAUGUGAGAAUAAAUGGGAAGUAGGAAAUAAAAUCCAAGUCAACAAUAGAUUACAAAUGAUUACAAUCCAAUUACGGUAAGGAGGUGUAUGAAACAAACGGUGCUUAAUACAACACUGAAUGAAAUCCUCCAUUUGAUUAUACCAGAAUGCCCUUCGAUUUGAUUCCAAAAAUAUGAAGGGAAAAUCUUCAAAUGCACAAAGUAAAUCGGAACCCACAGUGAAGUAGCUCUUCAGUAUCUUCUAAGCCCAAGCUGUCAAACACAGACCAAAAGCAAACGUGUCAUAACCAAAAUAACCCAAUGAAUGGUAGAUGUUAAAAUGAGCAUUCCAUUUUCUGAAUGAAAAAAAUCCCAGUGACCUAGCUAUGACUUACAUAAUUAAUUAAAAUGGAUUUGUUAAAAUAUAGUAAAAUAUUAUACCGUUAAGAAUUAACACUGGUAGAAGAAUUUGUUGGGCGGAAUCCAGCGAUCGGUGAUGAACUGAUUAUUACUUAACGGAGGGGCAAGCACACUGACAACAAUAUUUUACGUGGUUCGGCAAAAUCACCUACAUCCACGGGAGAGAGUCCAUUUAUUAGAGAUUAGAAAAAGGAUAUAAUAAAUAUAUAGAGGAGGAUCUAAUCACUCAACUCCCAUCUCUCUUGCUGUCCUUGCAGCUGCUGCAAUGGCUGCUGCCAUUGCAGCUCUCUUUUUCUCUCUAUCCUCUUACGUUUCUCACACACUCCUCACCAGAUUUAGCUCUCUUUGCAUGCUUCUUUUAUAGGCAAUGAAUGGUCAUCAUGGAGGGGCCAACAUGCCACCAUUAGUGGCACUAAUGGAGCAACCACUUGCUUGGUGGUGGUGGCCACUUGCUUGGUGGUGGGGGUAUUGCCAAUAAAUGGCAAUAUCCUAACAGAAUUUACAUGCUCCGUCCGGUUCUAAUUAAAGAGUUCUGUCUUUCUCACCUAUAAUAAUAUAUCAUGAAAAUAAAUGUUUGGGAUGUGAGAAAUCUUUUGUCAACCUUCACCCAUCUCCUCAUUCCCGUAACUUUUCCUUCGAAUGCGGCAACCACUUAUGUAUAAUUCCUGUGGAAGGGCUGCCAAAACAUAAAAGCUGUCCCGUUUAUGUUGGAUUAUGCAAACAUGGAGGUAUCUAUAUUGAUUCUGAUAUCACAGUCUGAAUUUAUUGUCUUCCGUUAGUAAAUCUAUUGGUCUGAAGAAUCCUCUGUCUGGAAGUUCUUUGAAUGGGGCUGUGAUGGCAUUUAGAAAGCACAGGCACCAGGGGGCUUGCCUUUCACUAGCAGAAAUCAUAUUUAUUGUUGAAGAUUUUUUGUGUUGGGUUUUGAUAACUUUAUUUGCAUUUAAUCCACAAAAUCGAUGGGUAUCAUCUCUUUUAGAUGAAUGGUUUAGCUUCCAAGUCUACCAUUCUCUCAUUUAUUUGGACUUAAUCCACUGAAACUGAGGUUUUAUUUGCGCGGAUAAUGAUAAUAUUUGGUGCUAAAUUUCUUGUUGUGAAUUGCAGAAAACAGCUGCUUGAUCUUCACUAGGAUGGUGGUUGCAAAUAAUAAUUAUGCAACCCGGUACGAGUUGCAUGUUAAAUAACUAGUGUAUAUGUAGAUACAGAUGAUGGUAUUUUUUUUUUAUAAUGACCCGUCCGUGUCGUUGUAAGAGGGGCCACCGUUGAUUGUGCCUUGGCCAUGGAGUGAUAUUCCACGCACCACCAACACUGUUCAAGAGCCACACGAACAUGGAGGAAUUACAGGGGCUGGCAGGGGCAGGGUCCUGCAAGGUUUUUUUUUUCUUCAAUAAAUUAGAUUUUUAUCUUUAAAAAUAUAAAAUUUAAAAUUUUGGCCCUCCCUCUAAAAUCUUUUAUCUAAUUUGACAUUCCCAAACUACAAUUCCUAACUCCGUUGCUUACUAUACACACGAAGUCAUUGUUUUAUGAUGAAAAAAUAAUAAAUUUUUUCUUCUUUUCUUGUAUUUUUAAAUUUUGGUUUUCUUUUAUCUUAGAUUUUAUGAAUGAUGAAUUCCAUAACAAGGAUGAUACAUGCCCAUUAAUCAUACAUGUCAUUAAUAACUUUAAAACAUAGACACCUAAUGGUGAAAAUUAUAGAUACAACCAUCAAUUAAAAAAUAAAAACAGCGAUUAAAUAUAUAAAAAAAGUAAUGGAAGUACAAGAAAUAAAAUAGAAAAAUUAAAAUUAGAGACACUUCCAUUGAAAAAUAUAAAUAAUUAGAGGCCCUGAAAACACUAUACACACACACAAGAUUAAGCGCAUUGAAUAAACAACAUGGAUUGUUGGAGUGGCUGUUUUUCCAGGCCUUGGUGAGGUGGUGCAAGUAAAUGAAUUCACACCAAAUACUCACUCGCUAAUCCUUUUCAACUUUUUAUUGAUUAUUUUACCCUUAAUAUUUCAGUUCAAGGAGAAUUGGCAACUCUUGUUUUGCCUUUUUCGGUUUUCUUUGUUAAAACUUCCUAAUCGUGUAUACGAGCAUAAAAGAAUAAUAAUAAUAAUAACAACAACAAUAAAAAUAAUUACUGCAUUAAUUUUUCUCGGAAAAUGUUUUGAUGGGCACCUUUACAUAUUUUCCAUAGAAAGUGUCUAAGAUGCUCUAUGAUAAGAUUUCAAUCCAAUUAAAUAUUUUACAUAUUCAUGGAAAAUCCUCUCCUUGAAUUCUUUUUGCCUUUAUAUCAUAAAUUUUUUAAAAAAACCCUAUUCAUGUUAAAACAAACUUUUCUAUUUUAAUUUUUAAAAAUAGAAUGUUUAAUAAGAGAUAUUAUUAAAUAAUCAUAUAAUAUUAUAAAUAUUAUUAUUAUGAAUUUCACUUUUCACAUGAACAAGAAAGUAUUGCAUUAAAAAUAUCUAAUGAUAAUAAAAUUCUCUUAUUAUACAAGGUAAUUAAAGUUUUUUUAACUCAAUAUAUGUUGAUCAAUACAUGGAUGUAAUUAUCCUGUUAUUUGUGGAUAUCAUUAAAUAAUUAGUAAAAAAAAUAGGUUUUCAUGAUUAGAAAAAUAAAGAAACUUUGAAAAAAAAGAGACAAAAAAAGACAUAAUAUUUAAUGUCUUUGAUUAUUUAUUUAAAAAUUGAUAUUUAUUAACAUUUUGAUACUAGAUAAAUGGGGGAUCUAAUCGGAAAUGUAUUUUGUCUGUAACCCAAAUGAGAAUAAAAAGAUAAUCGGAGGAAAAACAAGUUGUCCUUUUCCCAAAAUAAAAAUAAAAGAGAGGAUAUGGUGUGGACAUUGAGAAAACAAUCAUUUUCAAUAACAACUGAUUAUAGUCAAUUUCAUCCAAAUACUUAUCUCUUGGAAUGGUGUUUUUUUUUUUUUUUUUGUAAAAAAAUCAUUUCCUAUAAUAGUAUUCCAUGCUAAUACAAGAGUUCGGAGGUUUGAUAUAAUAUAAAUAUGAAUCACAUUAAUUAUUUAAUUCCAUCCUAAUAACUGAAAUCCUUUUCUUUUGAGUUCUAUGGACCUGAUCAAGGAACAUUAAUCAUGCAGGAAGAGCAGGCCUCCAUGCCCUUAUGCAUUGUUCUGAUUACAGUGGUAACCUGUUCAAUUUGAUCUUCGCUUGAGCAUGCUGAUAGAAGUACUUUGGCAGUUCCUCCAUCAGGGUGACAUCCAGCAUCGAUCAUUUCUUCAAAGAUUUCCAAGCAUCUUGCGUAUAGUUUCUUUCUAGAGUAGGCUCCCAAUCUUGAAGUCCAAGUCACAACAUCAGGUUUCAGAUUUUUGGUUGGAAGUGAUUGGAAAAUACCUUCCAUUCUCUCGAAAAAUCCUGCUCGUCCAUAUAUGUUGAUUAAGAUGUUGUAUGUACUGAUAUCAGCUCCAUAAGGUCCCUUUUCCAUUGCAGUUAGAACUUCCUCC
rnacentral:lncRNA from 1 species